rnacentral:lncRNA from 1 species
UUUUUUUUUUUUUUUUUUUGUAAUCAGCAUAUUUUUAUUGGCUAGAUAAAUAUAUGAUAGAAAAAAAAUAUUAUUCUAUUUUUAGGCUAAAGGAUUUUCUGGAUUUGACCCGGUCAGGCUCAGGUCGGCUCGAAAAAUUCUUUAAAAAUAUAUAUUUUUGAUUUUUUAAUAUUUUAGUUUGAUUAAAAGAUUUAAUUAAUGAAUUAGUUUCAUAUUUAUUUAUUAGCCUUACUUAAUACUUUUUAAUAUUUUUAUCUAUGACAUUUUCUAUUGUCAUAACUGAACGAUGAUAAAACUGAAUAUAUAUAAGUAUCUUGAUUUUGAAAUUAUCGAAGUAUAUUAAAUUUUGACUCUAUCAUCUACUUUAAAGUAUUUUAGUUCCAUGUUUUAUUGGGUUAAAGUGUAAACAAUUUAUUUGGUCGAACAUAUAUGGACAAAAUUUUCUCACAAUCAAGUUUAAAACUAUUGUACUUUAUCUAAUAAUUUAUAUCUUAUGUAUUUUUCAAAUUCCAAAUUUGCAAUACUUAUAUAAUAAUUAUAAGAUUUUCUUAAAUUACAAAUUAUAAAUAUAUAUAGUUUUUAAAAAAAUAAUUUUUUUCUAAGAUACUCAACUUAAGAUCCUACCAGUAAACACAUCUCAAAACUAAAAACAAAAUUAAAACUCUUAAACUCUACUUUUUCAAAUUUAAUACUAAAUUAAUGUAAGAUACCCUAAUUAACAUACUACCUAUAAUGUUGCUCUAAGUCUGUUUACUUAUUAAUAACCAAUACACGCUCACUGCUUCGCGAAAAGAAAGAAAGAAAAAAAAAAAACCAAUACACGCUCACCGUAGAAAACUACAAAUCACAUCACUCAUGAUUUUAGUUCGUAAUAUUUUGAAGGAUUUACAUUUUGACUCUAAUGACAAAUGAGAGAUGAAUGAGAAGUACUCAAGAAUACUAUAGCUACUUCAUAUGAAUAUUUUCAUAUGGUCAAUACGUUAAAAUUUACAUAAUUAAUUUAAUAUCAUUUUUUAGUUUAGGGAUUUAUUAUUACCUCAACUCAAUGACAAUGAGCAAUUGAGCAUAUAAAUUUAUUCGAUGACCUAACCCACUUUUGCUUACUAGCUUGAAUGAUAUAAAUAGAUUCGAUUCUCUGUGUAAUGUUAAUCAAUCAAAGAAUUUUUAAAUCGUUCCAAAUCGCUUUAUUUCCUUUGUGUGUCACAGUGUCAGUGUGUGUGAUAUAAUAGGUCAAACCUCAAAAAGUUUCUGUAAUAAUUCGAAAAUUAUUUAUAUUACGAAGAAUAUAUGGAAGUCUACACUUGUUCAAAGGUUUAUGGAUCACAUUAAUCCUUUAUUUUGUCGCCACUAUUAUGAUGUGAAGUUUGACUUGAUGAAAUAAAUAAUCCGUAAUAUGUUUAGCUAAAUUUUUAUUGAUUAAUGAUGAAACAUAUCUAGUUAGAGAUUUUUUUUAGAUUUUGAUUUUUUUUACCUACCUUAAGGUAAAAACUGAUAUAAAACUACUUGCUAUAUACAAUAACUAAUAAUUCGUUUUCAUAAUUCUAGUUCCGUCACCUGUUCAUAAAUUAACAAUGUGAAUCUUAUAUUCUUAUCUAAAAUUGUGUUAAAAUAUGAACAUUUACCGGUUUAUAAGGAAUCUCAGUUUUUUUCCUUUAAUUGUUGUGGACUGUUAUUUAUAUAGUAUAUAGGUCAACUUCUUGAGGCAAGUACUGGAGGAAGUUGACAUUUCCAUUUGCACAUCGACGACAUAUACACAAUAGCAAUAGUGCCAUACUGCCAUAGGCACAACUUGCAUACAAGUCUGUGCGACUCUCCUUGAUACCCCAAGCAACUGCAUGUAACAUAUAUAUAUAUAUAUAUAUAUAUAUAUAUUAAUCCAAAAGAAAAGGUACGACGGGGAAAAGCAUAGUGUGUUAAACUCAAAUUAUUAACAUAUAUGUCUCCAACAAAGCCACUGAUUAUAAGUCAAUAGAGUCUUACAGACAAUCGGAAUCUAUAUAUGUCACGCACUUCAAAUUUCAAUAGUUUAGUAGACAAGACCACCAGUGAUUACAUAUAUGUAUGGACAUUAUAGAACAGUAGUGAAUAUUAUUUUUUUUGAUCAAACACUUAUAUUAAAAUGAAUAUAUAUUUGUAGUUUAUCAAAAUAUUUUUAAUACCGAGUCAUAUAUAUUCGAGGGGUUUGAAGAUUAAUUAAAAUAAACAACAUGAUGUCGAAUCUAGGAGUUGAAUCCGAAACUUUUGACAGUCUUUGUCAGUAGAAAAAAGGAAAACUAAAUUUUUUAAAAAACAUAAAAUAACACAAAGAAUCUUGAACUUUGGAGUUUUAUCAAAGUAGAGAAAUAACCAAUCAAUCCACAUCCUGAUUAAACAAAACAAAACAUUUAUGCGUGCAUGUAAUUAUUUAGUUUUGGAUCAUACCCGAGUAGGUUAAAAUUGUUCAUUCCCCACCACCAAUAUCUUUUUAUUUCUAUUUGUACAAAAUAAAUAUAUUAUCUCAUUCAGUAAAGGUUUUUUUUUCUUUUCUUCUAUAUAUUGAGAACGUAAAAGGUCUUAUCAGGUCAAAUUUGUAACGUUAACUAACGAUUUAUUUUAUUUUCUUGUAAACCGUAACGUUAUAUAUUUUUAAAAGCGGUUUUCCAAUUUUAUUCACACUUAAGUAUCUAAGAUAUGUAGAUGAAAUAGUAGUCCAAGAUUUCGAAUUGAUUUGGAGACAAAAAAUAAGAAUAGAUUAGAAUUGAUACGUCUUUUUCUGUUUGUGUUUGCCAACUCUGUUAUCUUUUAUGAAUUCAAGAAGAAAAAAUCCAAACAAGAGCACAUUAACAUUUUUACAAAAAAAAAAAGAAGAGUACAUUAACAUUUUUACAAAAAAAAAGAAAAAGAAAAAGAAAAAAAGAAGAGUACAUUAACAUUCCGUUGAUUGAAGUAUUCAACUAUACAAGGAGAAGAAACACGAAUACAGAAGCGGGUAGACUCUUUCUGAAUUGGGUUUAGAUUUUUAACAUCAGAAAUGAAAAGCCCAUUAUAAAAAGGCCCAAUAUGGACCGACCCGUUUCGGAGAUAUAAAGUCAAAAAGACUCAAAACUCAAAGUUCCCGGUACAAUAUGCAGCUUUUAACCGGAUUAACGAUUUUAUACCGGUUACCCAUUAAUUAACGAAGCGCGAUUAUCAGCGUUUUCUCUUGUCGUGGUUUCAGCGUUUUAACUCGUCUUCCUAACUGGUAAACUUGAUGAGCAAGCAAGGGAAGAUGUUACCUUGCCAAAAUUUUCACUUGUUUCCUUUUUAAUGGAUGCUUCGGACCUAACUUCUCCAGAGAGAGAAACCAAACGUUCUCUUCUUUCCUCUGUUUCGAUAUCAAAAUUUAAAUCGGUGCGGUUGGAAGACUCUUGUAACUGUGACCAUUACUCUGUUUCUUUCGGCUUGCUAGCAGUGUGAUUAUAUUUUUUUGUUCCAGUUUAGAUCAAUAUGCUCUGUAGACUGUAGUUAUAUCUUUUAGCUUAUGUCUUUGUGCUAAGACCAACAUUAUAGGCAAGAUCUUAGACAAUUCUUAGGAUUAUUUGUGAUUUAAUUAAAUCAAAAAUACAUCAAAAUGACUAAGAAGUUAUCUUAUUUAAGAUCUAAAUAGUGUGUUAAGAAGCGUACACGUGGCAUGAUUCUAUUGGGUAGUAGGAUAAAUAUAUAUAUAUAUUUAUUUCUAAUUUUAUUAAAAAGUCACUAUAAAAUUUGAAAUUUAUAUUUAUAGAAACAAAUUAUCUUUAUAUAUGUGUAAAUUUAAAAUACCGCAUAAAUACAUUUUAAAAAACUUUUAAAAAUUAUUUAAAAACCUUAUAAAAACUUUGUAAACCUUUUAAAAACCUUGUAAAACCUUAUAAAUGUCGUUUAGAACCUUUUAAAACCUUAUAAUAAUUUGGAUUUAGUUUUCCCGUAGUAAUGAUGAUCUUGAUGUACUUUAUCAACCAUAUAAAAGUUUAUAAUUUUUCAUAUUUGAAAAGGGGUAUUUUUAAAAAUGGAUAGAAAAGAAGGGUAUUUUUAAAAAGCGAUACACUAAAAGGAACAUUCAUCAAAAAUUCUCUAGGAUAAGUAAGAGGAAAAAUCAAUUUUCUUAUUUUUUCUCUUCUUUCUUUCUUUCCUUAAUUUUAUCUUAUGUAUGUUUUAAAUUUAAAAUUUUUCAAUAAUUCUAAAGUUUUUUCAAAUUAUAAAUUUUAAUUUAAUUUAAUUUUUAUAUAAUUUUUCUUUUCCUAAGAUCCUUAACCUAAUAUACUAGCAAUAAAGAUGUCUCAAAACUAAAAACACAAAUACAACUCUUAACUCUUACUUUUUCAAAUUUAUUAUUAAACUAACUAUAAGAUUAAAAUGUUAGAUACCAUUGAUAAUCUUGCUCUAAGAAGCUUCAGUUACUAACAUACAUACUUCUGACUUUUGUUAUUGUCUCUCGCUCGGGUCUUCAUCUUUCCUUUCGUUUCAUCUCAUCAUCAUAAGCUAACUUUUUUCUCAAUAGUAUCUUGAAUCUCGUCUCCAGUGAUCUAGUUUGUUUACUAUAAUUUGCAAGUCUUGGAUUUACUACUUAUUAGCUACAAAAGAGUAUUGAACAUAGUAAAAUACAUAGAUCGAAACUAGAUUUAAUAUACUACCAAAGAAAAUUUGAUUUUUUCUUUUCGCAUAAUCUACAAAACUAUCCACACUCUUUUUUUUUCUCUUCACUUAUGUUUUGUUUAUUUCUUGUAUGUUUUUAUGACCAAAACUCCCACCAAUUAGGGUAACUGCUGCUAGAUUGGUCUAAGAGAGAAUCAGAAUUGAAACCUCCCCAGUUAUCAGAAGAUGUCAAGCAACUAUCAUCAGGUUUCUCGACAAUGCUCAUGAACUCAUGGUCAGUCUCUUCCUCGAACCCAAAAUACUCUGUUUUGAUGAUGUUGUUGUUGUUGUCACCAUCAUUACACAGAACAAUCCCUUCACUAUCUAACCUCACUUCUGGCUCACACUUUCCAUUAUGUGACUCUGUGCUGCUGCUUAGAGCCACUCCUUGUUCACCACAACACUCAUGAUCCCUUUUUUCUUUAGGCUUUUGCAUCUCUCCAUUUAGUCUCUGCAACUGCAAAUAGAGGGAUUAAUUAGUUAAUAUCCAAUUUUAGGUAACAAAACCCAUCAGAGAGUUUUUUUGUUUUUGGUCUGUUCAUACUUAAUUUAGAGUAAGAGUAUAGUGAUUAUUGUAUAGGAUCCCAAAAAAAUAAGAAUAUAGUAAUUAUUCAUAUAUUCUUGUGUUUAUACUUUAUAAAAAAAAUUAUCAUAUCAAUUUUUGUUCCCAUCACUAUUCAAUUAAAGAUAAAGAUGACAAUAGAUAUGUACCUCAGAGACCAAAGCUUGCUUUUCUUUCUUCAUGAUAUCAAAUUGUGAAGCCAAAUUGUUGUAACUGGCUCUGAGAAUGUUAAACUCUUUCUCAAGUUGCUUAGUUUUCCAACGAGCCCUCUUGUUCUGAAACCAUAUAGCCACUUGUCUAGGUUGCAACCCUAGCUCUCUAGCAACCUGCACCUUCUUCCUCGGUUCCAGCCUCGUCUCAGACUCAAAUAUAAGCUCAAGUGACUUGAUCUGUUCCUCACUGAACCUCUUCUGGUUAUAGCUCUUCUUCAUCUUCUUCUUAUUCAUGGUCACGCCGCCACUAUUAAUCUCGCCGAAGCAGCAAUUGAACAAAUCUCCUUCUUCCAUGGUCUUUCUAAACCAGAUCUUGCAAGGUUCUUGAUGAUUGCGAUUAGGAGAGAAGGUUUUUGGAAUUAUUUGUUUCCUUUCUCUUCUGGAAUCUCUGUGUUGCUGAUAUUGGCCUCUUUAUAUAUACAGUAUGUGGGGGAGUUACUGUGUUUGCUUGUAGUAGGGUCUCUGUGACUAAUUUACAAAUUUAAAAUAAAUAAAAAAAUAACUCAUUAAAUAAGACCCUGCAAAAAAUAUUAUUGUGGAACAACGCGAUAAAAUAAAAAAUAGGUAGGUCCAAAAUUUGUGGCUCGACACGAAUUGUAUCAUGUCUCUUUCAGUUUAAGUCGUAUUUCAUUUCGAUGUGAACUAAUCAUCUAAUUAGUCGUGAUAAUAUUUUGCAACCUCUUUUUUAUUUUAUUUUAAAGAUUAACAUUCUUGUUUAUGGAAGUGAUCAAGUGAAUGAAAUGGUUUUGGACUUUGUGGUAACCUCAAUACCAUUUAAAAACAAUUUAUGUAUAUAAAUCUUAUAUUAGUUGUUGGUCACGCCUACGUUAUGUACAUUCAAACUUUAAAGUUCUCGUAAAUGCAUUUUGUUUUUACUUUUUCUUGAAUUCUGCUCGAAAACUCAUCAAAUGGAUUACUUUAGUUUUCCAGUAGAAUCAUUUCAUUACCAAAGUUUUCUAACAAAACAGUUAGUUAUUUUAUAUGAUAGAUGAGUUAGUUAAACUUUAAAGCAACCUUCUUAUAGCCUUUUUUUUUUCUGUGCAGCAAGCUAAUAUAUAUAUAUAUAUAUAUAUAUAUAUAUAUAUAUAUUUAUUUAACUUGUACCGUUUGUAAUAUAUAACUAACGAUAUAUAGAAAAGGCAUUUUAAAAAUAGAUUCUAGCAGCUUAGAUGAUCAUCAUUGUACUAUGUUUUAACAUGCACAACAACAAAAUAUCAUCAUAUGACAUGUGACUGCCAAGGCCUUGCGAUACUUUUUUUAAGUCAAGAUAAUAUUUGAUAGGUAAUCAUUACGAAAGAGAGAGAGAGAGAGAGAUGAUAUUAAGCAAUAAUUUUUAUACGAUUUGUGUAACGAGAUUCCACGUUCACAUAUCAGGAUGAUCGACGGGUGUUAAUUAGAAUACAUCACAAACUCAUCAUAAGGUUUAAUCUUAAAAUUUUCAUUUGAGAUUUAAUUUUUCCUCACUCACACGCCAUCAUCCUUUAGAGGUUGGUUACGUGAAACACGUUUUAACGUGACUUUUCAUCUGAGUAUUAUAUACAUUUUAUAAAAUUAAACCUAAUCUUUGUUCUAUCGCGUUAAUCCGAAAAGAAGAUUUAAUCAUGGUUUAAUUUCGUUAUUGUAUUUGGUAAGUUGAGAGAGUAGUGUUUGCUCUUCUAUUUAAGGUUUCAGGUUUUAUAUUCUUAAAUAAUAUAUAUAUAUAUAUAUAUAUAUAUAUAUAUUAUAUGUAAACCUGACAUAAGAAGAAGAUAAAUUUUGCACAUCGCAUAUGGUACUAUAAUUUAAGCGAUGCCGAUGCUCUACGCGGUUACUUUCUCUACACGGAAAACAAGAAGAUGAUCACGAGAUCUCAAAGCUUUUUAUGACUUUAUUUUUUCUUUAUUUUUUAGAUUUAUUGACUUCCAUGCAAAUGAAAAGCAAACUCAAUUUAGAUUCAUUGUAAAGUAAACUGACCAAAUUAAUAUAUAUUCUUGGUUUCCUUUUAUCAUGACCGUUCUAAUUUUCUUCGGGAAUAUAUAUACAGUAUAUAUUUAGUUAUCCAUUUUAUGUAUAUUUAGUUAUCCAUUUUAUUCCAACUAUUAUUUAUUUAACAUUUUCUUGCAUUUUUCCUAUACUAAUAGUUCGGCGAUAUUAUAUAUAGGUAUCUCUCAACCAUGGCAUUUUGACAAAUCGUUGUUUAAGCAACAAAUAUUUAUGACAAACGCAACUUAGGUGUAAUUAAUAAAUGUUUUAAUGAUUAGUUUAAGGUUACGUUCACCUUGCUUCUUGGAAAUCUCUUUUGACUUAUUAAAGACAAAUUACAACAAAUGAAGUUCGGCCAUUUGUGAACUCCGGCGGCCUCAUCGAUGAUCGAUCCAACGUCACUUUUAGCCAUUCAUUAAAACGUUUUAAAAAAAACAUAAAUCAUAAAUUAAUUAUUAAUGUGAUUUAAAAUCAGAAAAUUAUUUCAAAAAUACAUUGGUUUAGAGAGAAUGACUAAACUUGGAUCAAGUUGUUUAAAUGAGGUAAAACGAGGAAUUGUUUUGGGGUAUGCAAUGGAAUGAAUUAGAUAUGUAGAAUAAUUUCACACAAGUAGCAAUCAAAGUUGUCAAGAUCAACCACUGAUUCACUGCCAUAUUGCACCAUUCAGAAAGCUAAGAUUGAUGAGUAAGGUGACGUGGUGAUUAGUUUGUGGUUGUGAUCUGAAUAUUGCGUCCGACAAAUGCUAUCACGUGUCGAGGUUAGAUUAAAUGUUAGCAGUUGUUGAUAAGAUGCGUAAGAGAAGAUGAUUCUUUACUCUCUCUCUCUCUCUCUUUUUUUCUUCUUUCUUUCUUUAAUUCUCUAAAGAGAGAUCUGGUUCUGUUUUCAGUUUUCGGUUUCCUAAUGAUCAAUUGGUUAUGGUUAAGCAAUCAAAUUCGAUCGAGUUUAGAUACAUUCCGGUUUCAGUUCAGCUAUGUCAGCCAUUUCAAUAUUAGGGAUUUGGAAUAUGAAAGAAAAAUAUAAGGAAAGUUAUAUUUGUAUAUGGUUUUUAAACAUAUACAUUGAACCGAACAUUAAAAAACGUUUUUAUUACACCAUAUUUGUUUAAUAAUUUUGUUUUCAAAGGUGCCUUGUCAUGACUUGUUUGUAUUUUGUAUAUUCUUCCAAUCUCUUCGUCUUGCCGCGUGUAAAGCUUAUGAUAUAUUCAUAAAUUCGUUUCUAGCUAGAUAUAUAUAGUGUUUGAAGUUUAUAACCCUAAGUGUCAGUAGGAUUCGGUCGUGACUAAACCUAAACAUUGAAUGAGCUCGAUAUUGUGAAAGAAAAGGCCGAUCGAUUAUAAGAUUACCGAUACACAUACACACACACACAGAGAGGUUGGUAUGAUAUAGCUUGUUCAAGACAAGGAGGGUCCAUGAUAAGAUGCCAAUCCAAUGAGGAAGAGACAUUUAUUUCACCACCGCCCAUUACAAAAAAAAAGAGGUCGACAAAUUAUAUGUGAUGAUAGUAACCUUUACAAAAAAAAAUGAAAGUCAUAUAAAAAAAGAAAGAAGUUUUGAUUAAUAUAGUUUAAUCGUUGUUGUUAUCUAUAAGACUAUAUAGAGCAUAGUUUAAGAUUAAAUUCUCUAUCACGAGAAAAACUAUAAUGGGCGGACCAACAAUAAUCUUGCUCUACUAAUUUCAACUACUUUGCAAGUGUCGGAAAAGCUUCGGAUUCGUCUAGAAGGUUUAGGAAAAGGUGAAGAGAUAUGGUGUUCGACUCACGUGCAACGAAGGCACGAUGUUGGUCUAAGGCUGGUUCUGACUUCUGAGUAUAUAACCGGCUCAAUGUUCCUCGUGAAGGCUUCGUGUAAAUUAUUUCUUAUAAGUCACUGUAAUGAACAAAAAAAAACAUUUUACUGUUGCGUUCGAUGUUUGGAUAUAUAUAUAUUCAGCCUAUAUAUUAGUACUUGAAUUGAAAGACCCAAAGGAGGAAACUGUUAAAAGUUAAAAGCCCAUUUAGCCCAUGAGGACCAAUUGCGAAACACCGGUGGCUUGAAUCAUUGGACCAAAUUAAUUGAUACAAAAGUUUUCUUUUAGUAGCAAAGAAUGGGCUUUGUUGGCGACAAUUUUUAUCAGGUUUAAGAUUACAACAAGCGCUGCUGCUGUUACGUAGAGAUAAAGCUUAUAUAUUAGGUUGUGACAUUCACGUAGAUAUGAAAAAGGAGAGAGAGACAAGUAAAAGAUGAAAAGAGUGAUGGAGAUGUUUUAGAGGACAUUGUAAAAAGAACAGUAGAAAAAAUAAAUAAAAAAGCCUAUGACAAGCGUCUUAUCAAAAGACCUUUGAAUGUUUCUUUAUAAACAAUUUGACUAGUAAUGAAAUUUAUAUAUAUGCUGACCACAAACAAAGACAUACUAAAAAAAACUGAAUUAGGUGCGAAUAAAAAAAAAGGGGAUUGUUUAUUUGAUGGAAUCUGAGGCCGAGAGAGAGAGAGAGCAGUGAGCAGUGAGCAGAGGAGGAUGGAAUUAAAUGAGAGAAGAAAGGAUGGCAGAGAGAAUACGAACAAAGAGGGCAUUUAAUGCUCUCUCUGCCUUUUUUUUUUUUGGUACUCUCUUUCCCUAAUUACAAUGCUACCCCUACCUUAUAUUAUUGUAUCUUCUUCCACAUCUUCUACUCUUCAAUUUCGGGAAUUGUUAGAUUUUAAGUGCAGUUUGGACCAGUCUUUUAAAUUAUUAGAAAACGUUAAUCUUUUGGAAGUGAUAGUUUUCUUUAACACUAAUUAAUGAGACACUAAUCGUGUUUGUAAGUGUUGGUGUAGGAAUUAGCACCAACGACAUACCGUCCUAAACCAAAAAUGAAUCGAAUCGGACCAACGAAAUCAAGGAAUCCCGGUUCCACAUUUAAAGAAGAUUUAUGUUCAUUCCUAAAGUGGAAAUGGGCGACUUUGUCUCGUUAGGGUUUCAUAAACUCUAAUUAAAUAUUUAUGAGGAUAUUCUUAUAAAUCUAGGGAAUACGAGCAUUUAUUGUAACCCUAAAUCUCUUGUAUAAAUAGAGAAGAUGCCUCUUUUAUAGGGCAUCGAAUAAUCAAUACAAAAAAACCUAGAUCUUUGAUCUAUUGAGCGAAAACCUAACUUUAUCCUAAAGAAAUUGGGACCCCCUUUUCAUGUGUGAAUUCCUAAUUCAACAGUAAGUUGAUAGAUUCAAUAAUACUAAAUAAUUUUGAUUAACAUGCAUAUAAUAGUAGUAAAAAAUGAAAAGGGGAAAAUGUAAAGGAGUGGGAUAACGUGGUGGGAUGGAAUUGACGUUUUUCCUCAUUGUUUCUCUCUUGCAAGACACAAACAACAAACAAACAAACAAACACAACUCUCGAAGACUGUCAACAAACGUCGAAAUUGGAGCUCAAAAUAAGAAUCGUCUUCUCCAUUUGUCAUUCUCAUGCACAGUCUACGUUUCCCCCCCCCCCCCACGCUUACUCUAUCUUACUUCUUACGCAUGCAUUUCUUUCUUCUGCUUGUACAUACAUACAUAUAUCUAGCUGUGUAUAAAAAACACUCUCUAAUAAUCUCGAUUCUCCAUUGUCGUCGUCGACAACUUGAAAUGUAUACCAAAAUCAUAUAUUGUGGUUUAGUCACGCGUCUUUCCAUCGAUAGUCGGGUUGUUUGUCGCAGUAGGAUAUUUUUUUUGUACUAUACAGGAAUUUACUGAUAUUUUAAAUUUUUUUUUUUUUUUUAUUAAUGUUAAUAAUAGUACGCAUGAAUUACUUUAUUACUAUGCAUUUUAAUUAUAGACCAUAAUCAACUUUAAGUAAAAAAAAAAAAAACGAAAUCUAUUAUAAUUUGCAAAUAUUGUUAUGCAUGCUGUAAUGCAAUUUAUUUUUAUAUACAACGGGAAGAUUUUCAUUAGGUAUCUUUGGACAUUAGGAAACUAACAAAACGUUGCAGCACAUGUCGCGGGCACUCCUCUCGCUACAAUGUCUCUGUUCUUUUCGAUUAAAUAAUUAAUUAAUUAAUAUUGUGUAUUUUUCACGAAAAGACAAUAAAUACGUUACGACCUUUUACGUCAAAAGAACAUAUGUGUAUAUUGUAAUAUUGUAUACAGCAAAAAGACCUUUAUAUAAAAAAAAUGAAUAUGCAUCACAACGGUCUAAAGAGAUGUUGGUAUAUAGUAUUAUUUUGCUAUAGUCGCUCAUGUUAGUCUUUGUAAAAACUAAAUGUAAAGUUAAAUAAAUCAUAUAGAGUGAUACUUAUACUUUUAUCAUCUAUAAUAUAACAGCUGGUAUGCAUAAAUGAUAUAUCGUGUUAUUUUUUUUUUAUUUUUUUUUUGUAUUGUACGUAUGUUUUAUUACACACAAAAUAAUACAGGCAGAUGAUAUUGCCAUAUUGGUUGACAAAACUCAAAAGGAAAGACUUUUUGAUAUCACAAAAAGGAAUUCUUCGAAAAGUACCUUUUUCUUUAAUUUGUUCCCUGUUUUAAAAAUAUAACUACAGUGUUAUGUAAUAUAUUUGAAGUAGAUAUUGCGGACACUAGUUAAUUUAUCUUAUAGUAUCAAAUUAACCCACCGGUUUUAAACUCUUUUUUUUUUUUUUUGUCAAAGAAAACCGGUUUUAAACUGUUAAUAAUCAAAUAUGGAAUUUUACCGAUAUACAUUUGUGUAUAUGAAAUGUAACUCCGUUCAUUACCGCAUAUAAUACUCAGUACUACAUGUGUGAAAAUUAGAAAGACAAAUAUAUGCUAGCAGCAAGAUAAUCAAAAUAGACACUAUAUAGUAUAUAUAUAAUUAUAAAGAUUGAUUUAAAAUAGAGUAAUACAAGUUGAAUGAAACAGGAGAAUUAAAAAAGGAAACGAUGGCAAAUGAAUGGAAAAGAAAGAUGAAGUAGAGAGACAAAAAUAAUAAUAAAUGAAGAAUGGUUGAUGAUAUUGGGGCAGAUCAAUAUAUAGGAUAUAUAUAUAUAUAACUUACUCAACCACUCCUCUGACUAACUUUUUCUCUACUUUCUGAUUCCCUUUUUUCCAUUUUUAAUCUUUGUGAUUUGUGAUUUGAUCGUUUCUCUAGUGGCAUUCACUCAAAGCCUUCUUUUCUUUGGUUUCCUUUUCACGCUCACUGAUUUAUCAUCAUCUUCCUAGUUUUCCCCCUUUGAUUAAUUAGGUCAAAUCGUCACAAAAGCUAAGUAAAACAAGAAACGAAUACAUAUGCAUUAUGAGUAUGGGUCUAUAUAUCUGAUAUAUAAAAUUCAAAGUUAAAAAAGUGAGGGAGGGGUGGUAUGGACUACGUAUAUGAUGUUGCUUAAACAAGUAAAAACACCAUGGUGAAAUGAGAAAUCCAUUGACAUGUCUCAAAAAGUAAAUCCGAAUGUUUACGUUGAAAAAUCUUGAAACUUGAAAUAAAAUAUACACUCUUUUUUUUUUUUUUUGAAGGAAAAAAACACUAUACACUGUUUGACCAAAAAACAUAAAUACAAAAUGGUAUACAAACAAGUAAAUAAGACGUGGGACCUAGCCACCCAGAACCCAUGUUUAUUUUGUCUUGUAUAGCUUUGUCUCUCUCUCUCUCUCUUUUGAGUUUUUGAGUCUCCUCUCUUCUCUUCUCUUCUUAUUUACUUAUCCCUCUCAUCAUUCUCUCUUCAUCACUCACCACAUUCACCUCUCUCUAUCUCUCUGUCUCUUCUUCCUUGAUCUCAGCCGGAUCUGAUGGGGGAGGGGACGAAUACAUGAGUGAUGGAAAAAAAUAUAUAAGAAAUAACUAGAAACCCUAAUUAGAAAAAGCUUUGUUUCUCUGAGGGAAGGAAAGAGGGAUCUAUCUUUUGCGGGGACUGUUGUCUGGCUCGAGGACUCUUACACUAAUACAAUCUAUCUCCAUUAUUUUCGAUGGUCGCAUCUCAGAUCUGAUGAUGAUGAUUGUUUAGGGUUUUAGCGUCGUCGGACCAGGCUUCAUUCCCCCCAAAUUAAUAUUGCUCCCUCGAUCCCAGUCCGAACCAACCCAAGAAGCUUCCUCGUCCCCUUUUUUUGUCAGCUCUUCAUCUAGCUUAGCUAGGGUUUCUUCUAUUUCUCAAUGUGAACAAAGUUUCGAUGUUUUCUUAUCAAUCUUUAUUUUAUUUUUAUAGGUCUUCGUUAUCAAGAUCUUCUGAGUUUUCAGGUGGGUUUUGAUUUUUUUUUUUUUUUUUUUGGUUACAGAUUGGUGUAAUGAUGAAGGAAUCUGACUCAUGUGAGAAGCUGAAAAAGUCUAUCAUCAUUACUAACUUUUGUCUCGUUUUUUUCUUUUCUUUCUCUACCUAUGAUUUUGUAAUGAUUUGUUUUUGUUUUUAUGAUGUCAGGACGAGUUAGAGUUCAGAGAGUAGAUAGAUCUAUUCAUGGUUGUUAUUUAAUGAUGAGUAAGGUUAUAUUAGUUUCAGAUCUGCCUGUUACUUCUCUCAAAACUAAACCAGAUCUACUAGAUCUGAAGCUAGAUCUGAAUCUUUCUAACGAUUACUUUACUAAAUUUAUGUUUCUUGUUUGUACACACAACUCCUAGACUAGGGUUUCGUCAUUCCAUUAAACCUUAUUUACUCCUAAAUUAAGUAAUUAGAAUUUAUAGAUUCUCACAUUUUGCUUCCUUUUUUUUGUUUUUUGUUCUUUCUCUGUGUGAUUGUUAUUGUUCUACAUAUUCACACACUAACACUUUGACUUCAGCAGAUGCUUCAAGCUCAAGAAACUUGGUCGGAUAAAUUCUCUUUUUUUUCCAAAUAUUGUAACUUGUAAAUGUAAUAAUAUCUUCUAUCUAUUAGUUGGAUUACCUGAUCUUUCAUUUACCAUUGUUCAGUCAGUAUAUAGUCGAUCUUUUAUUACAUCAUCCAGUAUCAGGAACUCCAUUUCAAACCCAUUUUCGGCGAUGCUAAUUUUGUUAGUGUACAUCAAAGAUUGUAAAAAUCGUGCUAUACUAGUUACAACUUUUUAAAACCUGACAGUUAAUCGUGGUAUGAUGAACCAAGAAGUACUGUCAAACUCAAGACUCAAGAGUCAAUAAUAUUUAAGUUAAGAAAUGACAAACUCAAGUUAUAGUAAAAAUGAACGACAAAAUUUACUGUUUUUGUUGCACGUUUGAUUUAAAGCAGUGUGUAAGUGAAAGUGAAACUCUCUGGUUUUCAUAACCAAUGUGAAAAAGUAAAAACAAAAUUAACAAAGUGAAUGGAUGUAAAGUGUGGAACGAUGAAAUGUUUUCUUUUAGACAUUCGCUGGAAUCAGAACAGAAAGAAACAGACAAUUAAUUAAAAUGGAUGAAUAUUAGAAAUUAACAACCACAAUUUAUAAGAAAAAUGUGAAUGGAAAUCAAAGUUUAAAAAAUAAAAAUUUGCUUUUAAAAAAUUCCAAAAGAUAUCUUUUCACUAGUGACUGAUUACACAAAUUACCAUGACUUUUACAUCUUGUCUUUUUUGACUUUUUUGUAGUCUUUUAACAAGUUACUAUGUGGCUCGCUUUAUUAACGAAGACUUUGACCUCUCUCUCUAUUUUUCCUAACAACGGUUUCAGUGUCUGUCUUUCUAGCUACCUCUACGAUUUGAUGUCUAAUCUAAAUCUUUGUUCCAUUUUUAAUAAUUACGUUUCUUCUAUACGACGCAUCAUAUUAGGCAAACUUUUAAAGUAAAGGGGAAGGCCCAGUUAGACAUACCCAGUGGGCCUUAUUAAUUUCAGGUUGUUAAUGUAAUCUGAUUUUCCCUCCACUAUUCCACAUCCCAUUGGCCUUUUGAAUUGAGUUCUUCAUUUUUUUUUUUUGGUAAUUCGAAGUCUCAACUAUGCCACGAAGAACAAAGUUGCUAAUCUGUUAGCAUAUUAAUCUGCAAUUUUUGUUAGGCACAAGUAUUAUUCCUAUAAAAAUUUACAAAUGUGCUUCAGUAGAUUAAAAAAAUGUAUUCUUUUUUUUUUUGUAUGGAUCACCAAAUUUUCUAAUUGAUUGAUACUAUCAUUUGUUACAAAUUCAACGAUAAUAUGAGCUACUUCCAAUCUUAUGUCACCAUUAAACAGCUAAUCGUACUUAAAACAAUUAAUUUUAUAUUAGGAAAAAAGAUAAGAAAAUCAUUCCUUUUUUUUUUAAUAAGUUUUGUAUCGAUCUGAUGUGAAGAAGUAAUAUCGCCUCGCCAUCACCCACUUGGAACGGUCUUAUUAUUUCUUUUUUUAUUCUGCUUUUUGUCAACUCUUUUUCAUUUCUAUUUUAUUCUGAAAAAUAAUUAUUUUUAUUUUAUUAAAACAAACGUUAACCUUAAACAUUUGUAUUUGCUAAAAUAUUCUGUCCACGAAAUUUCAAUAGUCAGUUUCUUUUAGGCCAACUCUAUCACUUAAUUUCUUGUAUAUAUUUAGGCAGCGCUUGAAAGCUCAAUAAUUUAAUGCACAGGCCUAUUGAUAUGUAAUACUAGUCGGUUGUUCGCGCUACGCGCGUGAGUUUAUUAUGUUGUUUAUUAGUAAUUGAUUCAUAUUUUAUUUCUUACUUAUUUUUUUCACUAUACCAUAUUUUACUUUUUUAAAACUUAAAUUGUGUUUGUAUCGAAAAACUAUUGAGUUUUAGCUUCAUUAGUUGUUGAGAAAUUAAGUGUGUAUAGUAUAAGUCGAAGUGUGGGCGUAAAUGGAAGUGCGGUUGAGAAUCAUUGAGAAACGUGUGCUAAUAGGGUUUUUACCAAAUAUAGAUCUAAAUGUUAAUAUUUUGGACAUUUUUAUAUGUUGGCAUGAAAUUUGAACAUGAUUUGUGGGUUUCGGGCGGAUUGUUGUAUUUUUAAUUGUUUACAUUAUCUCUUUAUAUAUUGUCAUAAUUUAUUAUUUUUUGUUUUACGUUUUCUUUUUUUGGAUUUGUCGUACUUUAUAUCUCCUAAUGAUCAUUUAUAUACUAUUAUAUAUAUUUUCUGAUUUUUUGUUAUAUAUAUAUUAUUUUUGUUUUUCAUAUGGAACAAUUUCUAAAUUUAACAUAUUAGUAUAAUUUACUUUAUAUUUAUUUUAUUUUAUUUAAUAAUGUUUUUUAUUUUAAUUUUCAAUUUUAUGAAAUAUAGUUAAUUUUUUAUUUGUUUAUUAGUUUAACAUAUGUGUUGUAUUGGAAAAAAUAGUUAAAUUCAUAUUGGAAACUUUUAAAGAAAUAUUAUUUUUAUUUUUACCUUUUUAUAUGUUUAUAAAAAAUGAUAAUUCAUGUUUCGGUCCGACCUAUCUCAUUUAUGUUAGAAAAUUUUUUGAGACAUAAAUUAGAUAGAUUUAUAUUCUCAAAAUUUCUUAUUUUUUGUUCUAUUCCCGUUAAAUCUCAUUAUAUUUAGGUUUACAUUGUCUAAAUAUAAUCAUAUAUAUAUAUAUAUAUAUAUAUUUUAAACAUUCACUAAAAACUAUAAUCUAUUAUUUAUAUAUUUUUUAGUAUAAUCGAUAAUUAGUAAGUUUUUUUAACUUUUAAUCAAUUAUCUUUUUUAGUUUAUAAUAUAUAAUUAAAAAAAAAGACCUUUCAUAUUCUUUGGAAAAAAAUAAUUAAAUUCAUAUUGGAAACUUUUAAAGAAAUAUUAUUUUUAUUUUUACCUUUUUAUAUGUUUAUAAAAAAUGAUAAUUCAUGUUUUGGUCCGACCUAUCUCAUUUAUGUUAGAAACUUUUUUGAGACAUAAAUUAGAUAGAUUUAUAUUCUCAAAAUUUCUUACUUUUUGUUCUAUUCCCGUUAAAUCCCAUUAUAUUUAGGUUUACAUUGUCUAAAUAUAAUCAUAUAUAUAUAUUUUAAACAUUCACUAAAAACUAUAAUCUAUUAUUUAUAUAUUUGUUAGUAUAAUUGAUAAUUAGUAAGUUUUUUUUAACUUUUAAUCAAUUAUCUUUUUUAGUUUUAUAAUAUAUAAUUAAAAAAGACCUUUCAUAUUCUUUUUUGAAAAACUUAUUUACAUAGGUUUAAAUAUUAAAAUUAAAUGAUAAAAUGGUAUAAUUAAUUUUUAAAAUUAAAUAAUAAAAUGAGGUGGAUGAUGAUGUGGCUUAAGGAGAAGAGAGAAAAAGUUAACUUUAUAUAUAUAGAAACUAAGAAUUAAUUAUAAGAAAAAAUAAAAUGAUGUUCUCUUUGGGGAGAGACCUUUUGACCAAAUAAGAAAAAAAUACAGUUCGAUUGAAGGAUCACUCGUCUCGAUUUCGUCUAAAUAAGUCGAUGACUAAUGAGAGAUAUUAUUAAAUGAACUCCAUACGUGGGCAUGUCCUGAAGUUGUUUCUUCUUGUUCAUUGCAUCGUACCCCAACUUUGUAUUUUUAUAUGUAUUCAAUACUUUGGGUUAUAUUUGACAUGCGAGUAUAUAUAUAAUAUUCAUAUAUUUGUUCCUCUAUAAUACUAUUAUAUUUUAUAUGCCAAUCAAAGUUGACAUACUGUAUAUAUUAUCGGUCUAUAGCAAAUAUUUUGAUAGUCUAAUGAUUGAGUAAAUUCCGUUCCUCAAAGGAUUUCAAAAUUCGAUUGUGUGUUUAAAACUAUUUAUACAAUAAACUAAUUAGUUAUAUAUAUUUAGUUUGUUCUGCCUUUAAUACAUAACAAUAUUUCAUCUGUGUGAUAACAAGUGGUGCACCAAAUUCAAGUGAAUCAUGUCUUUGAACUCAUGAAUUUGGUGACACAGCAUCAAUGUUGAUGACUUGAAGAAACAAAAAUGUGUACACCGCUCCAUACAUGUAGAAAGCUCAGCCAUACACAGUACAGAAACAGCAAGCUGACCCAAAGUUCUUCAGAAUAAUUUACGUUGUAUUGAUAAGGAAAACAUUAAGUUUGAUUUUGGAAACAUCGGUUAUAUAGAAUCGUUGUUUGCUUUAUGUUGUCGUAUGUAAGUAAAAGUAAUUAUGAAACCUUCCUUCCUCACCAAGACGACUCUCUUACAUGCAACACACCAAUGUUGUUUGUUCCCACACACAAAAACUAAACGCAAAUCCUCAUUAUAAUGAUAUUUAUCCACGUGUCUUGUUUAUUUAUAAUUUUUUUUUGUAUUUAAUCUAGAAAAGUCCAAGUGUCUGGUUUGUCUCAACUAAAAAAAAAAACAAAUGCAAAUGGUGUUUCUCUGUAUUUGCAUUUCCUAAAUACACGAUGUAUCAUACACACUUAUGUUAGUAAAAUAUUGUAAAUCUGACCAUCAAUGUACAUAUAAAACUCCAACUGGUUUUGUAUUGUAAAUUCCAGAAUGAUCGCAGUCCUAAAAUACAAGAAUUUUUUUUUUAAUGAAGAAAAGGAGAUUCUCAUUUAAUUUACUUUUAAAUUAAAUUUGCCAUCUUAAAUUUUGUGCCCAUAUAUAUAUAAAUAAAAGUAGUAUUUAUUAUCUAACUUAUCACUACACUAUACUUUUUUCAAUAAUUUUGUUAAAUUUUAUUAAUUAAUGAAUUGAAGCUUUUUCAUUUUGGUCAACUAAAUGAAUUGAUCUACCAAAAAUGAAUACUGAAAUUCUCUGAUUAAAGAUUUUGUAACCAAAAUAUGGAAUAAGGAAGUUAUAUACUGUACUAUGUUUUUAAAAUACAUAAGUAUUAAAGGUUUGCUUUUAAAUAAAUAAAAAUCCUCUUUUGACCCUUUUAUUUCACUUAGCAACGCUCAUAAAAUCCAAAAUUUGUAUCUCCAUAAUGAGAAAAAAAUGAACAACUUUAUAAGGUAUCUUAAAUUCUCUCCACCUCCACUAGUAGAGACCCCUUGGCCUUUCUCCUCUGUUUCCUAAGCCAAAUUUUCUCGGGAGAAAGAUUUACAUUUCAUUUCCUUUUUUUUUAUUUGUUUCGGUCUUGCUCCUCUUCUUCCUUCCUUCGUCGAAUCUCUAAAUAAUGGGUUCGGGAGAAAAAAAUAUCAAAAGCUUCCAUCAAAAUCGUUCUAGUAACGUGAAAAGCAGUAGCAAACAAGGGAUAAAAGAUGUUCCAAAAGGGUGUUUAGCAAUAAAAGUGGGAUCAAAAGAAGAGGAGAGACAAAGAUUUGUUGUUCCUGUUGUUUAUUUCAACCAUCCAUUGUUCAUGCAGCUCUUAAGGGAAGCAGAGGAAGAGUAUGGAUUCGAGCAGAAAGGUACCAUCACAAUCCCUUGCCACGUGGAGGUUUUUCGAUAUGUUCAAGACAUGAUCGACAGAGAGAGAUCGGUUAAUUACCAUAGUAAUCAUCAUCAUGAUCAUCAUAGCCACAAUCAUCUUGUUGGGUGUUUUAGAGCUUGAUGAUGAUGAGCCUCAUCUUGACGCAACCAAGCAAAAGGGAUAUAAAAUAAUAAUUUGUCUUUUCUUUUUUUCUAGUCUUUUAUUAUCCUUUUUAAAAAAAAAAAUUAAAGGGGUUUGAUCUUGUGGAGUUGUGGAGCCAAACACGGCCUAACCCACAAGAUUAGGAGUAGAAAGUUGUAAGUGGUGUGUGAAAAUGUAUAAUUAUAAAUAAAAUGUGAAGUUACAUGAACAAUGUUACUUGUUCCAUCUAUAAAAAUUUCUAGUGCUAUAUAAUGUUUAUCCGAUUGAUGAUGAUCACGCUGAUGAGAUGAUUGUGUAGGGAGAGUCGGAGAGAUGACGAACAAAGAUUUGGCAAUAUGCGUUUUUGAUAUUUUGUUAUGAGACGUAUAAAUUUGAAUUUUUUGUAGAAUGGGAUUAGUCAAUAUUAAAUUAAUUUGCAUCUGUUAAGAAAAAACUAAAUAAAGAGAGAGAAUCUCAGUUAAUUAACAAAUGUUUCUUUUUGACACAAAAGUAACAAAUAAUGCCAUAGAGUUAUCUAUCUUUCCGUUGUAACGGCCAGUUUCUACAUCGCAUUAAAUUUUAUUGACCCGAAAACAAAUACUAUUUGUCCAUCAUAUGAGAGUUAUGUAAGUACACAAGAAAUAAAAUCUCUUUAUAUCACAAAAUGACCUAUAUUACUUCAAACGAAUACAAAAGAUAAUAAUUUACACAAAAACUAAGAAGUUUCUGUAUUUUCCCCGAAAAUGAUGAAAGAACAAAGUCGGCAGAAGUGGGUACUUAUCUCUUCUAAUCGGAGUUUUGCUUUUAUUAAUCUCGUCUCGCGCGUGUGUUAAUUCCAAAUAUUAUAUAUUUUUAAGUAUACUAGUAUUACAACCAUCUAACCAACCACUAGGCACGAAAACUAAAAGAAAGUCCAAGAAGGUGCUAAAUAUUAGUAGUGUAUAUUUCUUUCGUUUUCUUUAUUAAUUGAGAUGUUGGCACUCAACAGUAUAAAUCUAUUAUUUUUGUGUAUCACUUCUUGCCGGCAAAAUGAUUUUUUGCGUUCUCCAUUUUUCAAUAAGAUCAUGUAUAUAUAUAUAUAUAUAUGCAUUGUAUUACAUUGUUUAUAUCGGAAGGAAGGAUUCCCCCAAAAUUUCCGUAAAAAAGGAGUACGAAUACCGAAUCCACUCAAAGCAAAAAAUGAUCAUCCUCGCAGUCUCACUUAUCAUGACAUGUAACAAGUGGCCAGGAUUUAAUUGUCGGUCGACUGUGUCACCAUUAGUGGAAGUCUUUUUACCUUUUUUUAUUUUUGUUAUUUAUAUAAUCGUCUAUUACUUUCUACUUUAUAUAUAAAAAAAUUGUUAUUUCAAUGAUUAACAUCCCUUUAAGAAAGAAAAAAAAAAACUUAAUACGCCUUUUCUUUUCUGUUAAUAACUUAGUGGUAUACAACCCUAUGGGCCUGUUCCAAUACACUUUACGAAAGGGCCCAUUUGAAAUGAAGAAAAAACUCUAACGAGCUUUUACAAUCCAAUCCCUCUUUAGUCUUUAAUACAUAAUCUUGAUUGAUUUCCUCAUAUAUAAUAAAAUGUGCCGCUUAUUAACCAAUAGUAAUGGGCUUUAGUUGAAAUGGCCCAGAUCCAGUAAAAUUGGAUAUAUGAUUGAUGACUGCCUGUUUACACUGAUUAUACUGUUGGAAGGUCAAAGGGAAAAAUUUGAUGCCCCGAAAUUCAAAAGCUUCAUCCUUAUAUUUAUUGUUACGUUUGAUUAUUUUAACAAUAUCAAAAUAAAUCGAAUCUAAUUCCAUAAUGCUAAAGUGGAAAAGGAAAGUCAAAACGUAACAACUUUCGAGCUUUUUACUAGCAUGAAUGAUCAUCACAUGAUAAAUAAAAAUAAAACGAAUAUGUGAUUAUUAGAAUCCUCCAUUUUCUUCUUCAAAAGUAAGAUUCCGGACUUUGAAAGAGAUCAUUCAUCAAAAAUGAAGGAAUAAUGUACAUAUGGUUAAAUGCUAUAAUUAAAUAUAAUGAGUGUGAUUAGUUUUAGCUUUGAUGGGUAGGUUAGGUUAUAAUAGCUACGAUUUUGGCACUUGGUGCAUCUUAAUCCAAGUUUGUUGAGGUGAUUAAUUGGGUAAUUAAUCAAUUUCUAAUGAUUAAAAACCAAACUAUUCAACAUCAAACUAAGCAUUUACCAACUAAACGAUCUGAAUUUCCUAGCAUUAGCAUUCCCAAGUAAAUAGAAAUUUAUGUCUAAAUAGAGAAUAAAUUAAGAAAGUUUGAAACAUAUGAAAGAAUGUUAUGGAAUUGGAAAUAACUUUAUUCCAAAACUUAUUUUUUUUGUGGACGAACCAUGUGAUUGUUGCAAAGGAAAAUGUGAUUGCUCUUGGUCAUCGAAUGAUAAUUAAGUUCCAAAAUGUAAACAUUCUUAUAAUCCAAUCAAAUUCAAACUGCGCAGCAACCAGAUUCUUCUUCUUUAAAAUAAAAUCAUUAUGAUGUUUAGUGUACAACGACAGACAUAGAGAACUUCUUUUUCUGUAAUGAUUUCACAUAACUACUGUAAUUAUCACAACCUGACCUUUUUCUCAUCGUAAAUGUUUCAACUUUUAACAACUAUAUGGUAUGAUAUGGUAUGAUGAUUAUUAUAUCUUUACACAAAGUUUUGGUAUAUGACACUUCCAUUAUUUCUGUUAUCAACCGAGGUUCAACACGUGACACGAUGGGUUCGACGAUGACGUAGUCGUUCUCCCGAAAUCUGCAUCAUUCCAUAAAUCCAUGUCCGGUAUAUAAUUAUCCGGCGUUAACCCGGUAUAAUAACCGGACCGGUUCAGUUCAUGGAACGGUGAUUCCGGAGACUCACAAACAGGUGGGAUCAGAUACGAGUUGGGCCCAUUUAGCUGCGAGGCAACGAGCCGGUCCAAAGCGGCCCAGCUAGUGACGAAGCUCGGAUCCAUAACUUUGCUGACGUAACAGUUGUUUUCGAGGUUGGGGAGUUUCAAAAAAGGGUCUAAACCUAUCUCUUCUUUACAAGAUUGCUCCAUGACUUCAAGAAGUUGCUCGAUAGUCUCCUCGUUGAACGGCGACGUUUUCACCGGUCUCGCGGGGCUGUUAAUAGUGGUUUUGCAAAGAUUCUUCUUCUUGAAAACACGACACACCACCCAUCCUUCGUCCCCUCCUAUGGCCUCACAUGUUUCGACGGUGACAUCAUCGUCGUGAUUCGAGGAGAUUAAUACACUACCAUCGUCGAGUCUAUAUUCGUGCAUGAUCCAGUCGGAUUUCUGACCAUGAGGGGCUCGACCUUUGUAAAAGACAAGCGUCUUUCGCAUCCCGAUCCUGUCACCAUUGGAAUAUAUGAUCUUGUCACGUCCUGUAGCUUUCCAAAACCCGACCGUGGUGGCUCGGUUGGUUCUAGUCCCCGUGGGAUACUUCUUGUCCUUAUGGCUAAAGAAGUACCAAUCGUUUUGCGGCGUUGUUCCUAUCUUACACUUCUCUACACGGAAAUCGAAGCAAGAGUUAUGUUAGAUACUUACUUAUAAUUAAUUCUUCUUUCAGAUAGUUAUAUUAUUUUUUUAACAAUCAAUCAAUUAAUUACUAGUUAUUAUGUAUAAAAGAAAUUGCCAAGAAUCCCGUGAAUGAUUGCAUAUGUAUACGACUCAACGUGAAUGAAAGAAUUAUUUAUUAUAUAGAAACCCUAAUCAUACUCUUUUAUGGAGAAUCAAGAAAGACUAUGUAUAAUCUGAAAUUGGAAUAUAGUAUAAUAAGACAAGAAAGAAUAUAAAUGAUUUAUGAACCUUGAAUAUCCCAAGGCUCGAGCUUGUUGAGAUCAACGUCACGAAUGACAUCGAGAUCGAUCUUGAUGUUAGAGAUUUUCUUGCGGAGGUAAUACUGCAAGAGCUCUUCCUCGGUUGGGUGAAACCUAAAGCCAGGAGGCACUUGUGACUGUCCGUUUACUGAUAUGUUCAUUGCUAAAGAUAGGAAGAGAAGAAGAAAAUAUAACGAGUUUAUAACUAACCAAAGUGGGUCUAUAUAUAUAUAUAUGAGUGUAUAUUUCAAUGUCAAAAUAAAAUAAAGUAAAAUAUAUGUCUAUAUUGUUUACAUCACCUGGCAAACACAAAAACAAAAACAAUACAUGCAUAUGAUGGAAUGCAUGUGUUCUUUUUGCUCUCAUUUUUUAAUUUUCUUUCUAACAAAUUUCCCUUUUGAUAAUGGGAGGAUUGUUUGUUUUUUUCCCCGAAUGUUUAAUGUUUUCAUAAGGUGUCAUUGUAAGUUCGCAUGAGCCGCCACUUACAAGUAAAACAUAAAUAAGAGCCUCUAAGGGUUUGUAUACCGGAAAUUGAACUCGUGGGAAUGUACACUUGCUUGGGUAAUGAUCAUCUAUGAGCUAAUCAAACCGCUAACGUAGGGUGGAUGGGUUCUUACCAAGUACCUUCACUCUUCAGCCUUUGGUUUUGCCAACUUUAAACUUAUACUCCAUAUAUUUUGGCAUGAUUCAGUAAUAUACCCGUUAAUAAUUGUUACAAAGUGGGACCAGGGUCACGUAGCUAUUGGGUGAAAAGUAUGGUCCACAUGUCAACUGUAAUGUAGGAAGCAAGCACACAUCGCUACGAUGACCCCCGACCUUAAAAAUCUCUAUGGACAAGACAUUUUAUAUUAGUCAUUUUUUUUUUUGAACGAAGGGUUAUGGCAAACAAGAAAGAAAAAUGUCAUGUGAUGAAGACUUGAUCACAUAUUCACAUUAAAGCUCGUAUUGUAGAACGAUGAGUAGUAUACUACGUACUAACGUACAUGACAAUUCCUUACGGAAAUUAGAAGAUGGAGAUAAAUUAUCCAAAUUAAUAGAUAUCAAUUGAACUGUUUCAAAUAGCGUACGUUCAUCGAAUAUAUGUGCAGGUAGUAGUUAACGUUGCAAGAAAAGGUAUAAAGGAUUCGUGUAUUGUGCAUGUGGUUAUAAUCAUAUAAAUUUAACCUUUCCGAUACACAAGAAAAGCGAGUGGAUUUGCCAAAAAAAAAAAGUAAAAUUACUGUAUAUUCACAUAAGUUGGGAUGGCGACGUGAAUCUAGAUGAACAGUUGUUUACAACUGUGAGUGAGAAGUAUGUACGUACGUAUCCUGUAGAUUUUGUGGGGGGACCAAUUUUAUAUUCUCUUCAACAUGGUUAGUAGUACUUUUGUGAAAUAACGAAUUAUGUACUUUUGUAACUUUGUUAAUAUAUGAAUCACUCCAUAUAUCAAUACGUAAACUCUUGUAAAUCUUUCACUUGAAUCAGCUGUCAAGAAAGUGUCAACCAAACUGAGAUUUAACCACAGUUUAAGUGAUGACCUAUAGCUAGAUGAACAUAUUUAUACGAGUUAUCAUGUCUCCUCUCGGAAGUCUAAGACCAUCUCCAUUGGUAAGAUAUAGAUGAGUUUUUCUAGAUUAAAACAUAAUAAAAAUAAAAGAAUUGAAGAAAAAAAGAGAGACAGUCUCUGACUUCAGAACUUCAGAACCCGUAUAUGAGAGACUGUAAAAACAAGUGUAACAUUUUGAUUGGUUUAGAUGUUUAAAAGAAAAAGUAAUAAAUAAUAUGUAUUAUAUUAUUAAAAUAAAACUUGUCAGAACCUCAUUUAUGGAUAUUCAUCGUUGGCGUUGCUCUAAGUUAGCAAAAUAUUUCUUUAUUUAAACUCACACAUAUAAUAAAAUGAUGUCUUUAGGUCAAAAUAUUAAUGUAAUCCAUGUCGGUAACUUUUGAACAUAUUUAGUGGUGUGAAAGUAUAGAUUAAAAAAUUAUCGCAGUUGAAGAUAAUUAGUCACAUAUAACCAAAAUGACAUGAUUUAUGUAUUAUGUAUAUAAAUUGUAUAAAAUAUGAAGAAAGUUUGCAUGGGAAGCAAUCUUAAUUAUCGUAAAAAUUUAUUAAACCCUUAAUGGUGGGACGUCAUAUGACUAUGUACUUGCGCUUGUCGGACGAAGAUUAAAAAAGGACUUUGUAAUUGGCAUCGAAAGAAAUGUUCUUUGUUUUUUUUUUGUAUCUUAAACCUAUAUAUAAUCCAAGUUUUCUCUAUAAUUACGAUAUUUGACAUUGCAAGGAAAAAAAAAAUCCGUUAACAAUAUAUAGUUUUGACAAAUGUGAAUAUAUAUCACUGUCAAAGGUUUUGCAAUCCAGUGUAUAUAAUAAGAAUACUUAUGUUAGAAGAUAUGUAGCUAACCUUUGAAUGAUGUAACACCAAAAAAAAAAGUAGUUUUAUUUUGUGAAUGUGGUACGUGUGUCAAUCUCCAUACUGCAGACAAACUUGGUAUUAUAUAUACAGUAACAAAAAAAAAAAAGGUUUUAUAAAACUAACAACUACGUCUCGCGAGACCGAUCGGUCUCGAUCGUUACUGAAAACUUAUGAAACUUUUAGUUCUUUUUUUUUUUUUGUGUGAGUAAUUAAAUAAUGGCAGUAUAAAGUUCCAAAAAGUGUAGAAAAAUAUUAAAGCAGUACUAGCAAGUAGGGUAAGAGAAAAUCCUAAGAAAUCGUGGGGGGAAGAAUAGGUGAAAUGGACAUACGAACUGUCAUAUUAUGAUGAUUUCUGUAUUAUAUGUAUACUUACAAUUUGCACGUGUUCCUUGGUUUUUUCCCCGUCAAUGAUAAUUUCUUUCUUUAAUGUUAUUGAUUUUUUACUUAAUUCUGUGAAAAAACCAAUUUGAGCAUAGGCAUGCGACUGAUUACGAAUCUAUAAUUAGUGAUAGAAACUACAUAUUGAAGUUUUUCCUCGAUACCCUAUGUAUAAUAGAGUUUCACCAAAAAGGUAUAUCGCGCGAUAAGGGAGAACCCAAAAUGAUGAUGAAUGUAUAUAACCAACAAAAAAAAAAAGUUAUACCACUGCACUUUGGUCGAUCGGAUCUAGGUGCAUUUUUAGUAUGGAUGCUAUUUACAAAAUGAAUAAUUAAGAAAAUCUUCUGUGGUUAAGGAAUGAUCAAAUAUGUCGUUUGAAAUGAACAUUAUCAAGCCAAAACUGGACUGCUGAGUCAGAUCUUGAGUCUCCUUUACUGCAAGCUGAUCGUUGAGAAGAUGACUCUUUUGUUUUCUUUUGUAAGUGUUAGAAGUCCAGCAUAUGUUUGUUUACUUUGCUUUUUAAAAUGUAGGUCAGUUUUGGUUCUUGUUAAUUAUGUUACGUACGUUGUACAAAGUUCUAUGUUUUACGUGGAUUUAAAAAAGCUUUAGAAAUUUGUACUUUGAUAUUUAUGAAUCGUAAUAGUAAAGUUGACGGACUGAAGGUGACAUUUGAUUUUGUUUGGUUUGGUCUUUUUCUUUUCAUAUAUAAGUAGUUGUUACGAUAGCGAUCUGUUUACCAUGUGACCAAGGGAUUACAGUUUCUUUGAACUCUUGGAAACAAUCUUCAUUUAUUUGUUACUAUUUUUAUAUACUAUAGUAUAAACGAAGGUUAUAUAACAUUUAUGUAAAGAUAAAUACAUCACAUGAAUUAGUAAAUAUUAGCCCUGGGCACGAAGCGAAUAUUCGGAAAAUUUGUGAUAUUUGUUAUUUGCUUCGCCUCGACCGAAUAGUUUAUUUUGAUAUUUGUUUCGAUUCGUAAAUUUACGAGUAUUCGGAACUUCGAAUAUUCAAAUAUUUUUCGUAAUAUUUGCGAAUUACUUGCUUCGCUUUGCUUCGACCCAUCUAAUUUUUUUUUGAAACAAAAAAUAUAUAGUACAUAAAUAUAAAGUGCAAAAUAUGAAAUAUUAGAGGUUUUUAUUUGACAUAUUUUCAAAAUAAGAAGGAAAUAUAACCACCGUCCAUAGAAUUCUUACAUUUUAUUUUUAAUAAUGAUUUUUCUAGUAAAGUUUUAUUUGCUUAAAAACACCAUUUAGCAACAAAAAAAAACCAACGAGCCAAAAUAUAAUAAUUUGAAUAAUAGGCCUAUCAGAUAUAUACCCAAAUCUAUAAAUACACAUAUUAUAUAUAUUAUAUGUAUUAUAUAAUACUUUAUAUUUAUACAUAUAUAUAAAUAUACGAAGCGAAGCGGAUAUUCGAUACUAAAAAAAUCAAUAUUUGUUAUUUGCUUCGGUUUUUACGAAUACUAGAUUUUCAUAUUUGCUUCGGUUCAAUAUCUUAUAGAUAUUUGAAUUUUUCGAAUCGAAUCGAAACGAAUAUCGAAUCGAAGCGAAUCUAACGAAUAUUUUGCCCAGUGCUAGUAAAUAUAUCACUAACCCUCCCUUGCAAGAGAAAACAAACGACUAUAAUUAAGCCAUAAAGAAACCAGAACCUUUGUGAAUGAUAUGUCUAAGACAAUUGUUGCAACAACAAAAUUUAUAAGUCUCCACGAAUAAGUGUUCCAUCAUUGCGCUUGCGGUGAUAAAAUUCGAAGAGCAUAAUGAAGAUAAUUGAAUGCCUUAUCGAUGCGGAACCAGUUGGAUGGUGCAUGAUUUUUUAAGUGUGAUAUAUGUUUUGUUCCUCUGUUUCCUUAUUUGAAAUACAAUGGCCAAGUAGAAGUUAAAAGUAUAUUAUUGCGAUGGCUAAGAAGACAUUAACCCAAAAAAGUUCCAAAAUUCACAUUUGUUAGCAUCUUAUAGUUUCCAAUGUUUAAGGUUUUCUUUUCCGUUUAAGGUUUUUUUUUUAUAGUAAACAAAUUAAUGUUAAUACCUUCCAAGUUUGCUGGUUGUUGAUGCAGCCAGGACAGCUGAAAUCGAAUCAUUGUUAGAAUUUUAAUAAAAUAUUUGUCGUCUAAUACUUGUGUUCUUCCUCACUUUGGUAUCUCAUGACGAACUAAACAACUAGUUAAAUACUUUGCAUGCACGAGACGAGAGAAAGGUACGUACCUUUUGGUUUCAUAAUUUAAAAUAAUAUAAUGUCAUCCGUUAUUUAAUCUUUAACCUGAACCAUGUGUGUUUGUCUUUUCAAACAGAUGCAAACAUGGUGAUGGUGGAGAUCUAUAGUAUACACAUACUUAAAAUAUGUUAAUUAUAUAACCAAUUUCGGUAGCGUAUUAUGCAUAUGCAUAUGAUAUAGUCGUAUUAUGCUACUUGGCUAAUUGCAUUUAUAUUAAAAUACCCAAAACAAAUACAUAAGGGUAUUAAUUAGCGUAUUUCUUGAUAAGUCUAAAUGAAGUUAGCUAAGUAUAUACGUACUAAAAUUAAAAAUCGUUAAUAAUCUUGCGUCACCACUUUAAUAACAAUCAUUCAGGGUGUGCAUUUGGAAUUUACUUUCAGAUCUUUUCCCUUUCUGCAGAACACAUGUGUCGACUAGGAUUCGAUCGCCUCAUGUUAAAAACAUUAAUAUUAUGUCCGAUGAACACUUUCAUUGCUUAAAUCGGAAUGAAAGUGUUUUUUCUCUCUUCUAGAAAACCUGAUUUGACGCUGUCAAGAUUUCACAUACUCAUUUUCAUCAGGAAAAAAAAAAAAAAAAAGACUUCACAUACUCACAUCUACAUGUCCAAUAUCGAUAUGUAGAUAGAUGGUCAAGUCUAAGAACAACUGUUUCUUUUGUUUCCGUAUUUACAUAAUAACGAAUUCAGAAUAAUAGUUGUGCAGGGUGCACAUAACCUUAGCCUAAACUGUUUCUUGCCAUAUUUGGGCCCUUUGGCCUGAGAAGAAAAAAGUUUUGGUACAUUAUAAGUUCAAGUGAUUAGGAUUAAAUUUAGUCGACAACAAUUCAUUUAUAGACAAACUCAACAUAGGCCCAACAGAGAGUUUUAACUAAUAAGUGGAACAUGAACAAUAUCUCUUUUGAUAUCUCUUUUAACUAUAAAUAUUUGAUAUCCAGAUGUCUCUUUUGUUUUGCUCUUUUUAGGCUUUGAAUAAGAAAUAAUAAAUGAUCGACUAAUUACGAUUUCAUGUGAGAGAUGUCGUCGAUGUUUCAAAUAUUUAUAAGUUUAUAAAGUUAUAUAAUAACUUCAAGUCUCCAACGCAAAUCAACAUGAUUUUAAAACUCGAUAGUGAAAACAGAGUAAAACAUAAUUAACAUGUAAAAAUUACAUAAAACAUGGGUUACACAUAUAUAUUCGAAAAUUUACCUGACCUGCCCUUUGAAGCUACUACUCGUAACGCUUAUCUGGUCUGAAUUCGCCCUCGAGUGAAGUCCACCUCCGCCGCACUUGGCCACCGUCCUCACACUUUCAACCAACGCUUCGGUUUCCACAUCCUCCGCAAGAAUUUCCGCCAACUGCUCCGGACUUAUCACAAGCCUCACCUUCCACACUCCACAACCACCUCCGCCGCCGCCAUUCAUAGCCGUCACUACCGGCGUCUUCCCAAAAGACACUCUGUACGGCGUUGACAGUUGGUCGGAAGAAUACUGUUGAACGGUCGAGGCGGCGGAAGAACGAGGGAGGAGGUAGUAGAUGUUACCGGGAAAGAGCUCUUCGCCGUGGAGAAGCGGCGGGGACGAGUGGCGGAGGCUUACAGAGUCGUGGAUGACGUGACCGGGAAAUUCGUUGGUGAUAAAUUCGGCAAAGAUGGGAGGAUGAAGCUCCAUAACGCCACCAUUUGGUGUCACCACUUUUAUCAACGAAUCAUCUUUAUCGUAUAGUUUUCUUGAACCACCACUGCCUUUGAAUACGCAGUUACCCAUUUUUGUUUUUGUUUUUUUCACAUGAACUAUAUAAUAGUAAGGAACUAGUUAUUGUACAUGUGUAUAGGUGAAGAUAUGUAUGGAAUCUAAAGAUAACCCAAGACGGAGAAGGGUUUAAGACUUAAUAAGGUUUUCUUUUAAGCAUAUGAAGUAUCAAAACUUUAUUACGAUGUCAAACAAAAAAUGAAAACUGUGGAUGGUCCACCACUUUUCUUGGUUAAAAAGGAACGAAGAUCCUCUGCUUGUGAUAUUUUUUGUUAUCCUCAUACAGUAUUAUGAUUUUGGGCUUUCUACUAUCAUGAUAAUUGAUAAGCAAGUUAAAAAAAAAAAAACCGAUAUUUAUUAAUUACCCUUCCUUUUAAAAAGGGUAAUAAUAUUCACGUGAGGUCAAAAGGUAAAAAAGGCCGACAGACACCAAAAUAGUCUUCACACUUUAUUAAAACAAUGGAUGAUUAUAAUCAAAUUUGCAAUCGAAUUUUACUAUUUCAACCUGAAUAAUGCAGGUGAAGCCAAAUUCUUAGAGAAGAAAACCCACGAAAACUAAUGCUAGAAUUGUGUUUGUAUAUAUCGAACGUUAGAGCAUGUCUAAUGGUAGUAUGCUAUCAUAAUUUUUUAGUAAUUGUUUACUAAUAAAUGGUGUAAUUUUUGAAAAUAAGAUUUUUUGAGGAUAACUAAAAUUAUCCACCUCCAAUGGUAAAACUCUUAAUUGGAGUUCUUAAAAAAAAUUUGAAAACUAAAAUUUUAUAAAACAUAAAAAUUAUUAAUUUGUAACACACAUAAUACAAACAUAACUAAAAUAUAAUAAAACACAUAAUACAAAUCAUAUUUUAGUUGUUGCCAAAGUUUUGCUAAAUAUUUUUAACCAGAUCAGAAAAGAGAUGAAACUGUUUUGUUGCCUGAGAGAACGAGAGAGAUGGAGAGUUUUUUGUUUUGGUCGGAAGAGAACUUUGGUUGGAAAAGAAAGAUAAUUUCAAAAAUACAUAUUUUCAAAUACCACUUUUUUAAAAUAUUCCAUUUUCAAACUUUAUCAAAAAAACCAUUGAAAAUGUUGAAAUUUAUCCAAAUAUGUGUGUGACCUUAUAAGUAUACACAAAAAAUUAUAUAUAUUUCAUAAAUAACGUAAAAUUAAUUUAUAAGAACCUUUUAAAAACCUUAAAAACCCUUUUAAAAACAUUUUUAAAACUUGUAUAAAAGAUUUAAAACACUUUAAAACAUUAUAAAAUAUUUGUAUCGAAUCACUAGUAUUUAUUAUAGAGAAGUAUUUUAUAAACCAUAUAAAACUUUAUAAUUUUUUAUAUUUAAAUGGUUUUUGUUUUUUUUCUUAAACUCUCUUGUACCGACACGUGUCUCUAAGAAACUAUCUCAAAACUUCUUAAUUAAGAGUUGUCUCCUAGCUUAAUAUUGAAUUUUGAUUUAUUUUUUGCCUUUUUAUUUCUAAGAUAUUGGUUAAAAAACCUGCAUUGGACAUGGUCUUAACGUGUUAACCUAUGGACCAAACAAAGUAUAAAAUAUCAGAUAAACAAAGUAUAAAAUAUCAGAUAAACAGAGUAUAUAUUAUCCUUUCCAUUGUUGUUUUUACACUAAUUGGUUAUAUUUAGAUGUCACAUAACUUGCGGAUCCAUAUGUCCUACAACAAUAUAACAUUUUGUCUUCUUAUAUUAUACGGAGGAUGAUCAAAUAAGAAAGAUUAUAUGGCAAGACGAAAGACAAAAAAACAGUACCACCUUUCGGUGCACUUAAUUACUUACCAACAAUUUCUUUGGCGGGUCAUUAUUAAUUCCAAGGGUCCUUACGGGACAAUGGCCCAUAAUAGUAUUUUACAUUCAUUUUAAAAUGAAAAAUCUAUUAGUUAGAGAGUUUUGAACCCACCAUAGUGGAAAUAUAUAUUUUAAAAUUCCACUAGCCUACUAGAUGCUGAAAUUUUAAAUACAAGCAAAUAAUUAUGAUUUAUACUCAUAGAAAUCUAUACGAAUGAAAAUUUAUUCAUUUAUUGUGUUUUGUCGGCUUUGAUUUAUUCUUUUUGUCAAAAUAAUUAAAGCGAGAAAAUGUAUUGCUGUUUUUAAUUUGAAAUUUAACGUGGUUACGUUUUGGGUUUAUAUGGUUUCUUUUGAAAAGCCUUACACUAUAUAAAAUUGAGUUUAGUAUUAGAUCAAAUAUAAUUUACAUGUAAAGAAUUGUUCUCUCAAAACUGUUUUGCUCAUUAGUUCGAUUAGGAUUGGCAGAGCCGCACGUUUAGCCUACUAACACCAACAAACCUACGUACAUGGCCUAACCCAACACUAGCCACUUAACUAGUAUGUGAAAAAUACAUAAUGGGCCUAACAAAAAAACUUACUUCGUAAAAAUUAUGGUCCUGAAUUGAUUACGACAUUGCUUUCUUUAAUGAGCUUCGUUAUACAUACGCAUACAUUUAAUUUAUUUUAAAGGAAUCAAAAAAUGAAACGCAAUCAGAAUAAACGGGAUGGUUUCAUACUUUGCAUUCGAUAUAAUAAUGUUAUUUUCUUCUUAUACUGAUAAAAACGAGAAAUAGGUGAGUAAUAAUAUAAUUAAGAGGUUUAAGGUGACUAAAUCACGGAGAUAAAGACCGUAUUUGAAGAUAGUUGACGCGUGAAACACACCCUGACAACAUGUGUGUAUUACUUAGAUUCCACGUCAGCAGAUACGUGAACCAGAACAACACUGUCUUUACAUAAUAAAUGUACUUCCGUCUAAUAACCUCGCAUGCCCCAUGCAUCGCCGUAGUUCACAUUCUUACUCAACUCCCUUCCCUUUUUCAUAAAAUUUCCGGGUUUCAAACUAACCGGAUUUUACUUAAAUCAAAUGCUAUCAAUUUAUAUACCGAACCGUAGCUAAAUUUAGUACAACAUAAUCGAAUGUACUAUAUUUUCAACAUUUUUUUUUUUAAUCUAAUGUAUGUAUAUCAAUACGAUAUAUUCAGCUUGCAUCAAUUUUUUUUUAUCAAAAACAAAACCAAACCACAUAUUUAUCAAACCGUACCAAACUAUAUAAAUUUUUUUCGGCUUUCGUUUGGACAUGCUUUGACGGCAAAACCGAAAUACCCAAUCAGAACAAUAUAAACCAAAUCGCACACGCCUAUAUAUAAAAUGCCCACGCCUUUACAAAAAUGCCUAACAAUAUCUUAAUCUCUUGUAGUCCUAUAAAUUUAUAGAAACGACAAGUCAUACACACAUCAAUUAAUGCAAGCAUUUGAAAAACAAGAAAGAUCAAGAUAAUGGGGAAUUUUCUUAGGAGAAGCUGCGCUGUGCACCCGGCUAAUUCUGGCGUCGACGGAGGAAGAGGGAGAGAGGUAGAGGAGCCGCUACGACAACGUAGAAGCAGCACUAUACGGAUAAAAGUGAGGAUGAGAAGAGAUAAAUUGGAAGAGCUUUUGAAUUUGGCGCGGCGUGGUGAUCAAUCUAACGACAGUGGUAAGAUCGGUUUCUUGAUUCUUAAAGAAUGUAUGGAAGGUCGCUUACCGGCGAGCGUUCUUGGCUCCAGUGACGAUGUUCCGUCUCAACGGUGUGGAAACUACUUAGUGUCUCGAAGAUUGGGAUCCAUCACGGAGGAAUAGUUAAAUGAUAUAUGUGCCUUCCUAAACAUAUAUAGCAUAAACGUUUAGAUAGACGACAUUUCAAUAAUGUUUUCUAGCUCAUUAAUUAUCAUGUUAAAGCAUAUAUCUUAGAGUAAUUAAUAUAAGAAAAAAGGAGUUUCAUUAUUCAAAUAAAAGGAAGAAAAAAUAAAAGAAACGAAUGUAGUAUGUUUAUGUCAUGAAUUUGAAGAUAUAUACAUGUAAAUCUCAAUACUGUUUUAAUUUGUCAACGAAUAUAAAAGUUUUUAUAUACACAGAAUUAUACUAAUUAUUCAUUAUAACCGGAAACCUUAAUCAUCACAUAUCAGACUAACGUAAAUCUGAUGGCGCUUUAGAUAUUUGAAAAUCUCUAAAGGUAAACUUACAAACAAACUUCAAAUCCAAUCAACAAUAUUUCAUCCGGUUCAAACAAGUCUUUGAUCGACCCAUCAAAUCUACUGAGUCACCAGAACAUAACGUGUUUAAAUUUUUUAUAGUUUGUGUUUGGUCACAACUGCUGAUCAUUCACCGUAUACGCCUUCAAAAUUAUCGAAUUCUUCUACCAAAUGUAAAAUAGAAUUAGGAUGGUUAAAAUUUCUUGUAUUAAGGUUUUGAUGUCUUAAAUUCUUUACAAGUUUGUUAAAAUAAUAUAAUUAUGUAUUUAUCAUGCUUUGCAACGAUUUUUCUGCGAUAAUUUAGAUAGGUGUGAAUGUGUAAUCCUGUAAAACUAUUGUUUGUUGCAUCACCCAAUGGAUACUUUUGAAAUUUAGAUAGGUGUGAAUGUGUAAAUUGUAAUCCUAUAAACUAUUGUUGUUGCAUCACCCAAUGGAUUAAUUUCUCUUCAUUUUUUAAAAGCCAACGUUAACUCUCCCGUUCCCAUAUAUGAAAGUGUUAAUAUUGGAAGAUUCUAUUACAGGUUCUAGAUAGAUUAUAGAAUAUUAAAAUUUUGUUUAAGUAGAUUUGAUAGAAACUGAGAUUUACAUAAUGUAAACGUUUUUUUUUUUUUUUUUUUUGCAUUUUUCUAAAAACAGUCAAAAAGUCAAAGUCAAAUCCCGUCUAACAAGACCAAAUAAUUUUUCGUAGGCAAUAUAGCAGCCGAAGUUCUGUAUAUCCAUCCAUCCAUCCUCGGUCCACCAUAAUUAGCCCAUUAUACAACUUUCAUAAAUGGGCCUUUCAAGAAAUCAAUAAAGAUGAAUUGAUUACUUUUAUCAUAGUACAGCUAAAUUCAAUAGUUCCGUUGAGAAAAAAAAUAAUAAUAAUAAUUUGAGGACGAUAUGGGGGAGAGAGAUUAUUAAGGUUUUGUUUCCAGAUUCUUUGCACUCUCUAUGGUGAUAUCAAGAUUUGGUCUACAUUAGAAUCUGAUGUCGCUUGGAUUUCGUCAUUGUUACAUUGGACCUUCACUUAAAUAAGCUUUUUAUAUUGCUACUACUCAUGUUUUAUAGGUUUUGGCAUUAAUAUGUUGUCAUCAUUGUCAUUAACUUCAUGGGUUUUUUAUCGAUUAUAAUUUUAUUAGUCUCUCUUUUCUUCGUAUGUUGUAAUGUUGAAAUAUUGUUUUGCUCGUAUCCUGAUGUAGUUGUGGGAUGCAUGUCCCUGUGUUAGUUCUCUGUUUUCCCUACUUCUUUAAAUAUAUACUUCAUGUUUCAAACUCUAAACCUUACUCUUGAUUUGAGUUUCUACUAUCUUGACUUGUUGUGAGGUAACAAAUCUGUACUCUGUAUUUAUAGAAUUGCGUAUAGUUCAUUGAUUCUAGCUCUUAACUUACUUUAUUUUCUUACUGCAGAUGGACUCAAGAAGAAGUAAAGUCUGUGGUGAAACAGCUUGUGGGUUUUCAGCUUCUUCAAGUGAUGCCAAGGAACGAACUGCUUCAAUGCGAAAGCUCUGUUUCGUUGUGGUGUUAUGUCUCUUGUUCAUGAGCAUUGAAGUUGUUGGUGGCAUUAAGGCUAAUAGUUUGGCUAUACUAACAGAUGCAGCUCAUUUGCUCACUGAUGUUGGUGCUUUUGCCAUCUCUAUGCUCUCCUUAUGGGCUUCUUCUCUGGAAGCUAAUCCCCGGCAGAGUUACGGCUUCUUCAGGAUUGAGAUUUUGGGUGCUCUUGUCUCAAUCCAGCUCAUUUGGUUACUCACUGGGAUUUUGGUCUAUGAAGCCGUAACUAGACUCCUCCAAGAGACUAAUGAUAACGUUUAUGGUUUCUUCAUGGUUCUUGUUGCUGCUUUUGGUUUAGUUGUAAACAUCAUAAUGAUUGUUGUGCUUGGACAUGAUCAUGGGCAUGGGCAUGGGCAUGAUCAUGUUCAUACUCAUGGUCAUGGUCAUAGUCAUACUCAUGUGCAUGGCCAUAGUCAUGGGGGGGGAAGCUGAGCAGUUGUUAGAGAAACCAAAGGAAGGGAGGAACAUUAAUGUGCAAGGGGCUUAUCUUCAUGUUCUUGGGGAUUUAAUCCAGAGCAUUGGGGUGAUGAUUGGAGGGGGUCUAAUUUGGUAUGAGCCUAAAUGGAAAGUAAUUGACUUGAUCUGCACGUUAUUCUUUUCGGUUAUUGUUUUAGGGACGACCAUUAAGAUGAUCCGAGGCAUACUAGAAGUUUUAAUGGAGAGCACACCGAGGGAGAUCGAUGCGAAGCAACUCGAAAAGGGAUUGAUGCAAAUCGAAGAAGUGGUGGGUGUUCAUGAGCUGCACAUUUGGGCAAUUACAGUUGGAAAAGCUCUGGUUUCUUGUCCUGUCAAGAUUAGACCAGAAGCUGAUGAUGAUAUGGUUCUUAACAAAGUGAUCGAUUACAUCUGGAGAGAGUUUCAUAUCAGUCACGUUACCAUACAAAUCGAGCGUUAAAACAACAAAAAGGUUCAUUUCUCAGGUUUUCUGUCAUUUUCAUGAUCGAAGUUCAAUCUUUUUUCGCUUUCUCGUGUGCUUCUCCAUUACAUUGUUGUGACAUAUGCUGAUAUGCUAUUGUGUUUUUUGUUUAUGAAUAAGUUUCUUUUUGUCCUGUCUUCUAAAAAGGUAAUUAAAAGGACAUUACUUUAUUUGAGUUUAGGGGCUUUGUGUUAAGUUACGUCAGAAGAACCAUAAUCUCUAGCGUUUAUCUUUGAUAACAGACCUACGAAAAAAAGUAGUGGGGCAUCUCUGUCCUGAGAGGAAGUAACCAGAGCUCGUGUGUGACUGUUAACAAACAUAUCCAGUACACAAUUGAUAAAAACAGAUCCAAUUCCAAACCUUCUUUGGAAUUUUUAAUUUGUUGAUAAGGUUUCUAAGGUCUUCGUGAAGUAUGCAAAGGCCGAAUGUUUUGUUUCUUUGUUCAAGUUUUGCGAGAGCGGAUAUGAAUUUACCCGUUUGGAGUGAGAUUGUAGACAUAUUGGGACAUUUUAUAGGACCAACACUGUUUAAUGCCGUAGAAGCCAAGGCAUUUAAUAGAUUAGAUUUGUAGACUUUAUAUCUUUAUUAGAGUCAACCUUGUAACCAAGAUAUUAGAUAUGAAUGGGUUUUGCAAUGUAAAAGACAAACUCCCACGCUUUAGAAACUCUAUUAAAACGCUCUAAGCUGGUUUAUAUCAUUGGAACAUGAUGGAUGCAUGCAGCAUAGUUUCUGUAUAAAGUUAAGCUUUUUGAGUCUUGAAUAAAAGAAAUGGUAUGGGAAUAGUGAAGAAAGAAUGAUUGAGACAUCAUGAGAAAGAUGACACAAACCCAAAGGAAGCUCUCUUACCCAUGACAUGUCUCUUUUUACCUUCUUCUUCUGUGUAAUUUAGAAUUGUCCCCACAAAGUCUGUCUCCACUUCAAGACAAAACUGCCUCCACCAAUAAUCUCUUUCUCUCUCUCUUCUUUGCUCUGCUCAGCCUCACCAACUCUUACAGUACCCAAACACAUCUAUUUUCUUACCUCUCUGUUUUUUUACAGUUCCUCUGUUUCCACUCUACUCAAUAGCUUACUAAAGACUCUGUUCUAUAUAAAGCUAACAGUUACAAGUCCAGAAAAGCUCAGAAUCAGAUGAGAGUACAUGAGUUUCCUCUUCUGCCUCUUUGGUGAUUUUUAGCAUUUAUUUCUCAGUCACUCGUCCUGUGUUAAUUACAUUUUCAUAACAAACAAGAGCUCUCAAAAUGGAGAGGUUCCAAGGACACAUCAACCCCUGUGUAUGUAUCUUUUGCUUAAUUUAGAAAGCUUUUACUCUCCUUUCUUCAAUCUUCUCUCUUCCCUUGAAUCAUUUUUUCUAUACUCAAGAGACAUGGACUUGCAUUUACUCAUUCUUAAGUAAUCCAGAUACUGCAUUUAAUGCUUUUGUUGUUUGUUUUCUAGAAAACAAUAACAAUUCUCCAAUCAUUUUUGCUUCCCUCUCUUUUGAAAACAUUCCAAUAUCCCUUCUACUUUCGUUUAUCACUGCCCUAACCCACCAAGUCUCUAACAAACACACAGUAGAACUAAAUUACACUUCUUUUUCAUGCUAUGCAACCUCAUUCCCCUGUGUUUCUUGCAGUUUUUGGAUCGGAAAGCGGAUGUGAGAAGCCUAGAAGUUCCAGCAUUUGCAGAGGCUCAAAGCUUUGCCAUUAAAGAAGAGGAAGCAAGCUUAUUACAAGAUACAGUUCCUUUUCUACAGAUGCUGCAGAGUGAAGACCCUUCAUCGUUUUUUACUAUCAAAGAGCCAAGCUUCCUAACGCUAUUGUCUCUUCAAACCGUCAAAGAGACUUGGGAACUCGAACGCUAUCCGGAGUUUCAUUCACCCGUUCAAUCGGAGACCAACCGCUUCCCGAUUUCAGCAUCAUCCAUGGGAGGAACCAAUCAAGCUUUUUCAAGCCAAGAACUUCCCUUUAGCCAAGCAAACAUGACACUCCCUCCUACCUCAUCACCACUCACCACAAAUUCAAGACGCAAGCGCAAACUCAACCACUUGCUGGCUCCAGAACUGACCCGAGAAAAGAGAAAGCGGAGGAAAACCAAGCCAAGUAAAAACAUUGAAGAGAUCGAGAAUCAAAGAAUAAAUCACAUUGCUGUUGAACGAAAUCGACGGCGUCAAAUGAACGAACAUAUCAGCUCCCUCCGUGCCCUUCUCCCACCAACCUACAUCCAACGAGUAAUAACAACAAAAAAACCAAAAAAAAGUUUCAACCUUUAAUCUGCAAAACCUUAUCAAAAACCCUUAAUUUGUAUUUGCAGGGAGACCAAGCGUCUAUAGUAGGGGGAGCAAUAAACUACGUGAAGGUCCUCGAGCAAAUCAUACAGUCUCUUGAAUCGCAAAAGAGAACGCAACAACGCAGUGAGGUAGUUGGAAACGCGAAGGACCAUCUCUCAGGCAUUUCGUCGAACGAGUUGUGGACGACUCGCGAAGAUCAAACUUGCAUCCCCAAAAUUGAAGCUACAGUGAUACAAAACCAUGUCAGCCUUAAAGUUAAAUGUCUAAAGAAACAAGGGCAACUUCUCAAAGGAAUCAUAUCACUCGAAAAGCUUAGACUCACUGUUCUUCAUCUCAAUAUCGCACCUUUGUCCCAUUCCUCUGUUUCAUAUUCCUUCAACCUCAAGGUAAACACUGCUCUUUCCUUUUUUUUUUACUUUAAUUAUCAUAAACCUCAAGCCCAAAUUGAAAAGAAAAAAAAAAUCCAACCUUAAAUAAGAAAAAUUAGUUUUUUCCGAUUUUGUUGGAACAGAUGGAGGAUGACUGCGACUUAGAAUCGGCCGACGAGAUUACAGCGGCAGUGCAUCAGAUUUUUGAUAUUCCGACGAUUUCAUUAAACACAUAAAAUUCCAAAACAGCUAACAAAAUUUGUAUCUUUUAUCAUUAUUAUAAAGAAGAUACCAAUUUCUUUUACUGGGAAUAAAAAUUCGUUUUUUUGUUCUUUCGUUUUCCGACUGACGGAUUUAAAUUCUGUGUUGUCCGCAUAUCAUUUGGACUGUUCGACUCAUAUUUUUCAGGUUUUGGGUGUUUUGUGAGAUUGGGGUCCUAUUUUUAUUUAAUUAACAAUGUUUGACCUUAUUCUUCUUUAUGAGAUAUUUCAUCAAUUCUGGUUUGACUUUUGUUUCUAUUUUAAGGGUUGACUUCACAAUCGUUGUCAGUCAUAAAUAGUGUGUGUCUACAAGGGUCUAUCUUAUAUACUCUGUAGCACAACAUGAUGUUGAAAUUGAAAAAGCAAUCAUUGAUCAAGUUUGCUAUAUAGCCCAGCCUUAUGAGCCUAGCGUACUUUAGUAACUUACUGAAGGGUCCACAGAAUAAGCCCAUACAGUCCAAUUAGUGAAGGAACUGAAAGUUUGGAAUUGGCACUCUUGGUAGUUGGCAUCAACAAGCUUGCAUUUUUGGUAUUUGAAGCUAUAUUUUUGAUAUUUGGCACUAUACAAUGGGGGAGGCAAAUACUUUUGGUCACACCAUCAUCAAUAUAGAGUAGUAACCGUUUCGAAAUUUCAAGGGAAACAAGGGAGGGAACCCAAAUGUUAUAGAUUUGACUCAAGCCAGAGAGCCAAGGGAAAGUUUCUUAUGUACAAUGCUGCGGUCGAUUUUCGCUAAAGAUGAGACCGACGAUGCUGCAAGUUAGAGAUGUAGUAGAGAAUCCGCUUCUUGUCGUCAGGGGUUAAUGAGAAUGGAGGGUUUAGAGAUAAGGUCACUGCUUCCUCGAUUAUAAAGGAGAGUAGAAGAAUUGCUUUCUUGUAUAAUGUUGCUGCACUUUCUUUGUUACUCAAAUACUCUUCAGCCUUAAAAACAAACAAAAAUGGAUCACCACAACAAGGAUCAGUUCAGACUUUUAGGACAAAUGGGUUGAUAAAGGUGGAAGCUUUUCACAAAAGUUUCAGACUAAAGAACUAAAGGUUCAUCUUUAUACUUACCCCACCACUCUUGCCGUAUGCUAGCGCCUUCUCAUAUAUCGUUUCCAUGGCAUCAGGCAUAUGAGUGGCAGCUGCAAUGAAGCGAAUGAUAUGCCUUCAGAUAAUUAAAAGCAUAACAGAGCAUUGCUUGGUUAGGUACUAACCACUAGUUUCGUUUAGUUGAGUCGAUGAAUUCUCAGCUUGGUUAAACGCGGUAACAAACUCUUGAGUCACCCAAGUUUUGGCUGGUACAGGUGAGUUUAAAUCUGGAAUUGAAGUCUCAGGAGCUGCGAUUGGAUCUGGGUUCACACUAUUCUCUCCAACAGAUAUCAUCCAAGAAUCGCAUAUCUCUAAGGCUUUUCUCCAGACAGCUAAAACGACGAGAGUGACAGCAAAAGAUUCCUUUACCUGUCCUGUGUUUCCCUGUAUGUAAUUGUGUUAUAGAAGUUCUAAUCAUUUAAGACGCCAGAAUUUAGAAGUUCUAAUUACCAUCUCGCCAGCUAGUUCUGUAAGCACUUGUGCAUACUGAUGCAAAUGUUGGAGCUUAGUUGGAGGAUGGACAAUUGUUAAGCGUUGAACUUCUGUUAACAGAUACGAUCCGCUUGCUGGUCGUGGAACAGACGCAUCCGAUAAUGGUCUCUGUGCUUCAAGUGAACUCAAUGAAACUUUUUCAUUCCUGGGUAAGAAAUUAGGUAACCCGGAAUUAUGCAAUGAUGUGUCGAAACAAUCUGAUGAACCUUCCAGCGAGGCAGAAGGACGGUUUACAAGAACAUACUCUCUCUCUAUGAGCUCGAGUGAGUCAACAACUGCACAAAUGACAAAAGAAAAAGAUUCUGAGUGAUAUGAACUUAUAGAAAGCAAUAGAGAUCAGACACAACAUGCGUAUAACAAACCUCCAGAUUGGUUUGAUGAGCAUUGUCCUUCAGUGUCCUUUCUAGUCUUCUCAAAAGAGAUAUGUGGCAUUAAAUUUUGAGAAAUUGGGGCACUAGAAGAACUCCCAUGUUUGUAGACGUUCUCUGCACUUGAUUUUAAACGGUUUGUACUAAUCGGUUGUGCGGAGGGCAACGAUGAUUUUCCCAUAGAGGUAGUAGUAUCAGAAUGCUCAACAUCCGGCACUUGUCUAACAAUAUUUGGUAUGACAGAUUAAGCAGAGAAAGUUUAAAGCUUUAUUAAUGAAGGUUGCGAGUAGUUUAGUCAAAAUCUCCAGACAUUACCUUGGCUCUCUAAGGAACAUGUGAGUAAAGAACUCUCGGAAUGUCAAGCGUUCAACUGCAGUCAAAAGAACAGAUUUUCCAAUGAAAAUUUUGAGUUGUAACUUGAUUAGAUAAAAUAAAAUAAAAACAAAGAGAAUCCUAUAACACUACUUGGGUUUCGGCGGAGAAGACUUCUGCACAAAUCAACACAAUCUGGAUGAAUCUCCUUUACAGAAUCUUCAGGAAAUUUCAACUCAGUGUCUCUCACAAUAUUAUGAAAAAGCUGUAGAGAUCAGGCAUCAAAGAAUAGUAAAGGUCACAAUAAGUUCAAUAGAAGUUCACAUAGGAGACAAUUCAAUCGAUUUAGGCAAACAAACCUGGAUGUGAUUAUUUCCAUCAAACGGUGGUUUCCCAGUAACAAGUUGAAACAAAAUUGCACCGGCACUCCAUAAAUCAGCCUGAAACAUUCAUGACACAAGAAAACAAUGAGAAGAAACAAAAAAAAAUUGAAAGGUCAAAUAUUUUCUAAAACUGUAUACGUUUCCUCACCUUAGCAUCAUACUUUUGGUUUCGGAUAAUUUCUGGAGCCAUAUACAAUGGAGAACCGCAAAAUGUUUCAGCCAUGCUCUCUGGUGUUAGAGACCUACCAAAAUAAAAAUAACAUACCAAAUGGUGGAUAUAUCACCACACUAACACCUUUUCCAUAAAAAGCAAACAAUUUUUUUUUGAGAUAUGAGAUCUAAAUCUUACCUUGCAAACCCAAAAUCUCCUAUCUUUAGCAAUGGAGUUACUUCCUUGGAAGAUAAAAGUAAAUUCUGCAAAAAAAAAUUGAAGAACAAUAAUUACUCUUUUUACAAAUGCAAAAAAAUCGAGAGAGAGUCAAGUGAGUUUUGAAGUUACCUGAGGCUUUAAAUCUCGGUGAAUAAAAUGCUUCUCGUGAAGUACUUGCAACCCUAAAGCUACACAACAAAAACAGAGAUUCAAACAUCAAUGCCAAAUUACACAAACAUGGAAAAAAAAAAAAACACCCAAACGAAAAGCAUAGAGAUUGUGUUUACCCAAUUGCCUCAUAAAAUGUUUAGCAACAGCUUCUGGAACUUUGCCAUGGCGAUUGAUGUACCCAGCAAGAUCACCUCCACUGCAAUACUCCAACACAAGAUAUAUCCUAUCCCCAGUCUACAAAAUUCGAAUCAAUUUUGAAUCUCAAUGAAUCCCAAAAUUCACUCUUACUAGAGGAAAAAAGAAAGAGAAUUGAAACCUCGAUAGAUUCGUAGAAUCGGAUGAUGUUGGGAUGAUCGAUGGUGCGAAGGAUCGAAAUCUCUUUAAGAAGAUUAUCUCUAACUUUAGGGCUAAGAAGUUUCUUAUCAAUCUCUUUGACGGCGACUUCAAAACCAGAGGAUCGAUGCUUCGCUAACCACACCACAGCGAACGAACCAGACCCGAUUCUCGGGCCAAGUUCGUAGUCACCCACAAGUCGUGCCGACUCCAUCAGGGUUUUGACCCGUUAGACUUCCGGAUCCUUACUUGGAUCAACCUCCAUUGUUUCUAACCAAACCUCUCUCUCUGUCUCUCAGUGGCCAAAGAAGAAAAAUCGAAACUUUCCCCAACUGUUUUUGUUUAACGAAAAGGAGACGAACAAGUGAAUUCAGAUUUUAUUUAUAUUACAUACAUACACAGUAAAGCAAUCGGUCACCUUCUUUUUUUUUUUCGUUCUCUUUUGUGUUUGUGUUUGUGUAUAUAGAGAGAGAGAGAGAGAGAGAGAGAGAUUUGGUUUUAGGCUUUUAGCUUAUGAGCAAAGAGUUUCUUACUUGUAGUCCAGAAGAAACCUUCUGAAAUUGACGUCUUCUAUCCAAAUUCCACCAGGAAAAUUACGUCGCAAAUAUCUCCGAAUAUUACCCUUGUUUUCUUUUUAUUUUAAAUAUUAACAUAUUUAAAAAAAAAAGAAAAAAACAUAUUUUAAUUUUUGCCUUGUUAAUCAAAAUUUUAGUAUUAUGAAAAAUCUACCAAAACUAUAGCUUUACAACAAAAAAAAAAAAAAAUCUAUAAGUUGUGUCAACAGUAUAUCUCAAAAUACGGUUCUUUUCUCUCUUUUUUUCUUAUACUAAAUUUUGUUAGUUUGAUAAAUUUAUGUUAACUUUUUAGAUUCAAUGAAUAUCUCUUUAAAGCAUUUCAAGAUUUUAUAUUCAGAAAAAGGGGUUAUACCAGUAUUGUCAUAGUUACAAUUUAAAGUCGAUAUCUUUUUUACAUAUAAACGUUGUUUCAAUGUCAAAAUAAAAACAUAGAUGUUAAUGUUACCACUAAUAAGUAAUAACUAAGAUUUAAUCAUGAUUUGGAGUGACGUAUAUGAAUAUUUAUAGUUUUACGGAUAUGCUAUAGAAAUUAUUUAAAUGCAUAGCUUAUCGCUAAUGACUAUUUCAAGAUGAUCCUUCUUUGGUACGGUGAUAGAUAAUCUGACAAAACCUGAACUGAUGAUUAAACAAAUAGUUUGUCGAUGCCACAUCAGCCAUUGACCUGGCACAAUCAAUGUCACUGGGACCUGCUCUAAUUAUCAUGAAGUUAAUUAAUUAUCACGUGAACGUGCCACGUAACUCAAACCACAAGGUAAGCCCAUUAGAGCCGUAGCUUAGGCCCAACAUUGUUUGAAAACCAAUAGAGUAACUAGGUUCAUAUUAAGCCACCAAACGGAGGAGUUUAAGAAACGACCCACAAUUUAAGAGUUUAUGAGAGGCCACUAACGGGCUUUUGACCCAUAUUAGUUGAGCCGAUGAAACAAUCUCAUAUAUUCCACAGAAACAAUAAAUAGUACUACUCCUGAGAAACAAAGAUUGAUAAAAAUCACAGUUUCGUGUAUGGUGGGAAGAAGGGAAAGCGACUAAACCUAAGAAACAGAGAUAGAUGAGAGAUUUGUCAAGGGACAAUGGAGUCUCUUUAAUCUUUAUCUAUCGUCUUUAUUUGGUUGGACCACCUUCACCUUCCUCUUCAUUACAAUCUUUCAUAUACGUAUGUACCCAAAUCUUUCAGACCAAAACUUAUAUUUAUAUCCGCAACAAAAAAGAUUUAUAAUAUAUGGUCCAAUGAUUUUUGUAGUAGUUAAUUGCGAGUGUCAAGGGUAGUGAUGAGUUAUGUUUAAAUCCAUGAAUCUCCAAGACUCCAACUUAAAAUUAAUGUUGACUAUAAAAAUGUAUGUAUGUUGUAUAGUUUUUAUUUUAGGUCACUUCUCCACUUAAUUCAGAUGACGAUUUUCUAACAAACUCUGUUGUAUUCCGGAUCAAUAACGCAUGGUAAACUGCCAUGAAUUGGUUUUAGCAAACAAAGACGUUUGCAGAGGGCUCGAAGUAAUAAUUUCUUGAAAUAAUGCGAAGUUUUGUCCCGAUCCAACUCCACACUACAUAUUACUGUCAUGUCUUAUGUUAUUACAUGCCAUGUGCAUGUUAUAUGUGUAAGUGUAGUUAACUAUGGAAGCAGUCAAUAAUGCAUGAAUGUGUUAUAUAUAGCAUAGCUAGCUAGAUGCUGGGAUCAUGAGCUGACUUUUGCAGCUAUUGCAGAGUAUAUCAAAAGGAGUGUCUAUGUAUAUAUAUACUAUAUAGAUAUGUAUGUAAGAUGAGCAGUAGAUGUGAAUAUUCUAACACGUGUUGUUCUUAUAUAUAUAAUAGUAAAGAAUAUUCUGAUAUAUAACAAAAAAAAAAAUUCAUAGAAUUCAAACUAAUAAUUAAGACAUAUCCAAUUUUUCAUACAAUUGAAUAUCUCCCUUUUAUGCAGCUAACUUGGGCUUUGUUUCUCCUGCAUCCCUCUCUCUCCCUAUGCAAACCUAACCCCACACCUUCAUAUUCAUAUAUUUUGCAUCUAUAUUUUUCUAAUCCCAUCUGUAUUUUUUCGUCUUCUUUCUUAUGUUUUAUUUUAAGUCCAUAUCAAUUUAUAACACCCUACCACACCAAAUGUACUUUUUAAAAUAAAUUUAUGCAUGAAUGGUCAUCGUGUGUGUGUAUGCGGACCGUUAAGGUUAAUUAAGAGAUGAAACCCAUCGAUUUAAUUAUGUCUUAAAUUGUUUUUUUUUUGUUGUUGUUGUUAUUGUUAAAAUACAUGCCUUAAAUUGUUAUAAAGUUACUAUUUCCAUCUAAUAAUAAAGUUUGCACUACUUGUUCAUCUUGAAACGAAUAGUUUCACACUAUUAAGGAUCUGGUUGAGUCUAGCUAACAGAUCAUUCUAACUGUAUAUUUCUGAGGAGUUGAUUAUAAGCAAAAUCACAUGGUCUUAAAAUGUUUUUUUUUGUUGUUGUUGUUAAAGUACAUGUCUUAAAUUAUUAUAUGAUAAAGUUAUUGUUUCCAUUUAAUAAUAGAGUUUUCACUUGUUCAUCUCGAAACCAAUAUAGCUAGUUUCACGAAUUAAAUAUGUGGUUGCGUCGAGUAUCAAAUCAUUCUAACGAUAUCUCCCAAUUGGAAUUAAUAGAUUAAAAACAAAAACUAAUGGUCUUAUAUACAUAUAUAUACAUAUAUAUAUUUCAUUAGAGAUUUUCUAUUCUUUUCAAUAUAAGAUUCCUAUAAAUAUAAAUAAAUAACUAUCUAGGUUAGUUGAAUUGUUCUAAGAGAUACAAUAUUCUUGAAGGGGAUGAAAUAAUCAAAUUAAACAAAAUUCGAGAGAAGAAGAACCAGUAUCAAUGCUGAAAACGUAUAAAGCCUUUGCUAUCAUAAUAAAAGCAAUUCGGAAUUAGAUACCAAAGGUAAAGAUUUUAUAAUCUAUUUAUAUACUACAUGAAACUUUUACAAGAGACCCAUGCUAUAUUUAAGUAAUGUUUUAAAAGAAUUAAAUUAAGUUAUCUAUUGUAAAUUUAUAAUAAAGAGACGACGACGAAAGGGUUGGCUAGGGAUAGAGAAAGAGGGGUGAGUCCUAGACCCUGGGGAGGGCCAAAUGACAGUUGGAAAAUGUUGUCGCCAUUAUCGCACCAUCCUUCAAUUUUUGUUAUAAUUAUUAAUUGUUACUAUUAAAUAAAAUGGUCCGACAUUUUUUUUAUAUUUCACCACUAUUAUCUUUGAUCGCGACUUAUCGUAUCCAUAUACAAUCAAAUAUUUUUGUUAUUUUUUGUGCUUUUGCUUACCUCUCCCAUAAUAUGGUCGCGGCAUAUAUAACAUUCGAUACUAUAUUUGAUUAACACGGAUGUACAGUGUCGCUCCGGUCCAAAAUUAUAUACACAAGAAAAAAUGAAAAUAAAAAUAAAAAUGGGAAACCCUAAUGUUUUUUUACUAAAAGCACACCUCAAUCAUCAAUAUUAUAUAGAGAGAAUUAUGCAUCAUCCCUUUCUUCGUACGACGCUUAGUUAGUUAUUAGCUUAGUCCUUCGGUUUACGAAAAUGUAGACCCUAACUAAGAUCAAUAAAAGACUACUUAUAAUAGAAAAUUUGAAAUGAGGGAGAUAGACUCUAGUGGGAGAAAAAAACAUAUAUAAAUAGGGUUAGUUAGUAAUGGUGUGGUGUAGGUGUGGAAGAAGGAAAUAGAUAAAAAAGAGCAAGUAGACAUUAAAAAGAGUUAAGUGACAAUACAAAGCUAAUUGGGUUUACUCUAUUUAUUAAGUAGUGGUCCUUACCCUAAACUCUUCUUUUAAUACCCCUACCUCACAUAUCUCCAUACAUCAUACUUCUCUCUACCUCCAUCUUCUUCUUCUUCUUCUCUAUUUUUUUUCUAAUUAAACCGCACGAUUUCAGAUAUUUCUGAGUUGUACAAUAUAUAGUUUUUGGGUCUAGUAUGGCAUCGAAUUUGUUUACAAAUAAGUGAAAUAGUUCUAAAGCAUAGCACUCAUCACUCCGUUAGUUGUUUAAUUUUCUCAUGAAACGAAUAUAUAUUGAACAACAAGAGAAUGAAUAUAUAUAGUUGAGUAGAAAGAAGAAGAAUAAAGCUGAUUCUAACUCCUAGCUAGCUAAUGUGCACAUUAUGAUAUCAAUAUGAUAUCGUCUUCUCGAUCCAUAUAUAAUUGAUAAGCCCACAUAUAUCUAUGAUGACAAUGUUAGUUUUUGCAUCUGAGGGUGCAAUUCAAAUUCAAAUACUAGAAUGAAAAGAUUUAUGGAAUAAUAAUAUAUACAACUAUAUAUAUGUAGACAGGUCCCGUGGCUAUAAGGGUAUAUGCUUUGAAAAGGGCGACGCUACGACGUCCUCUUCCUAAUUUCUAUAAAACUAAACAUUUCAUAUUUUGUUUUCACCAUUUUUCAGAAUUUAGAAAUAAUUUGUUGUAUUCGUCAUUAUUAAUUUGCAGAGAAACACAAAAAGAAAUCCCACUGGCCAGCCGGAUAGAGUAAUAAUAUUUUGGACCGAUCGAUCAAUUUCUUGUGAAUUAAUGAAUUUUAAUUUUUGGGACAUUAUGUAUGAUAUAUCAUGAAAUAAAGAAAAGCAAAGGUGGGUGAGUACAUAUAUAUACCUAUCAUACUAGCCAAGCAUAUAUUAUAAGUUAAUAUAUAUUUGAUGAAGUCUCUAAUAAAAUUAAGAACCAUCAAACCAAGAGAAAAAGAACAGGUUAUCGCCUGAAAGCUUUGUGACCACUCAAUUAUGUAAAUGUGAGAUGAGAGUUUGGACCACAUUGAUCAAUGUUCUUUCAUGAGUUUCACCUACUACUCUUCAAUCCUUUUUUAUUUUAUAUAAAAGAAAACAUCUAACCUUUUUGUUCUAGUUUAAAUACAGCCUUAAUUUAGACUUGCUUAAUUGAAAUAGUUCUCCCUUAAUUAAGCCGAAAUUAGCCAUCGAGACAUGAAUGAUGCUUUGUCUCUUUCAGGACCACUCACACCACCAUAUGUACGUAAGGAACGAUAAGAUUUAACAUGAAUUUACGCGAAACUUUUAAAAACAAAGCUUAUUAUUACAGUUUUUUUUUCUCAUUUGAAGGGGUCAUGUGAAUGCCACGUGUCUUAUUCUAGAACAACAUGUGUAUUAUGUAGUAAUGUUUACGUGAUGUCGGUCUAGAUAAUGAGCUGUACACAAAACUAAACAUUUUGAAUCGGUUUCUGUUUCAUUUUGCAAAAAUAUUAAAACCGUUAUAAACAAAUGAACUAUACUAAAAAAAUUUCCAUCCCUAUAACUCUAGAUACUUUGGUCGGUCCACGAGUACUACACUAUAAUUUCUUUAUUUUAUUUCACGUUAUAUGAAAAUGAAUAAAGAUUAAAGCAUGGUUUAUGUUAACGUAUAAAUCCUUUUUGUAGCAUUUUUAUUCGUAAUAAUAAAAUCUAUAAGUGAAACUAAUAGCAUGAGAAAUUCAUUACUAUAGUAACCAAUUGGAGGAAAACAUUAAAAUGAAAAUGAAAAUAUCAGCCCACCAUUUCACAGUCGCAAAUGGUGAUGAAUCGCUUUCAUCUGGUUUUAAAAGUUCGAGGAGACGGAAGACAAUUCUCCGUAAUACAACUUAUUAGAUCUUAUCUGUAUUAGGCACAGCAAUAUACAAAAAAGAAAAAAAAAAGAAACGGAAUCUAGCUAGGUCCGUAAAUUGUAAUCAUGGUUUCCAAAAAGAGAUGGGUAUGAGUUUAAGUCGUCAGGUCCUAACUUUUCUCUUCGAGUAAACUUGUUACUUGUUAGGUUCAAACUUGACAGCCCCAAAGUUUUAAUUGUAGCCACUGUGUCACAUAUGCAUACAUUACAUAUGCAUUCAGUCAUACAAACGUAUAUAUAUAUAUAUUUUUUUUGUCAAAUACUUACUAUAUACACGAGUUUUUACACUUAUUUAUUCGCAGUUAAAUAGAUGUGUGAAUAAUUGAUUUUCAAAAGAGUGAGGGCAAACCAAAUAUAUAUAUAUAUAUAUAUAUACAUAUAAAGUCAACAGUAAAGACCAAACCUGUAAAACGACAUGUCAUUCUUGUCCUUGUAAAAGCAGAUUGAGGCAACCCAUCCCCAAAAAAAAUAAAAAUAAAAGCCUUACCACAGACCUCAAUAAUUAGCAUUUAUGUUUUAACUGUUCAUAAAAAUCCAAUAGUCUUCUGUUAAUUGUCAACCCAAAACAACUGUAUCUCAUAUACAAUUUUUAUGACACAUUAUUACUAUAUAUUUCAUAUAUUACAUUUUCUUUAAUCUUCUUGUGAAUGAUAUAAUAUGCCAUUUCGAUCGUUUUCUCAUUUUCAACAAUAUUUUUACGAGUUUCUCUCUUUAUAUAUAUAUAUAUAUAUUCACUGACUAUAUAUGUCUAUAACGUUUUGGAGAAUGUAUAUUAUUAUACGUAGAUAAUUUUUGGAGUGUAAAUCAAAACAUAUUACGGGAAAAGAAAAGAAAAAGGCCAAAUAAAAGUAAAUGAAAAUGUCCAUAUGGAGAAAAAUGGAACGAGGAUGGUAGAAAAAGGACAAGAAGCUCACAUGAACAGAACCAGAUUGUUCAUGGGCCCCCCCCCCCCCCGCCCCAUCUCUCUCUUCUUCUCUCGACCCAUAUCUCUCUCUAUCAAUCUUCUUAUAUUACAUGAGCUCUCUCUCUCUCUCCCUUUUUCUUUCUCUUUCUCUUCUCCUUCCUUUCUUGUUCUUGAGAGAUUUGUUCCUAACUUGCUUUAUCUUUCUUGGCAUCCAAGAGCUUCUCUUUGCUCCAUAAACAGUAGAGAGAGAAAGCUUCAAAUCAAGAAGAGAGGUCAGAGAGAAUAAUCGUGCUAAAUCAGGUGAAGUUAGGCUUAAAAAAAAACCCACUACUUGCCAUUUUUGUAUAAUUAGGUCAAUCUCAUCCACCACCAUACUCAAUUCUCCUCCUUUUUUCCUCAAUUCUCAAUCUUUUAGGGUUUUAUCUCUUUCUCUCUAUCUCCUUCUUUAAUUUCUUGUCUACCAAAAAAGAUUGAACUUAUUUCGAAUCGUAUGGUGAGGAAGUGGAAAUCUUGAAAAGAUCUGAGAGAUUUAUUUAUUCCGCAAAAAAAAACAAGAAGAUCGAUGAAUAUUCAAGAAGAAGAGAAACCUAUUAAUGAAGAAGCUUCUAAUUCAUCAAUGGAGAGAGAGCACAUGUUCGACAAAGUAGUAACACCAAGCGACGUAGGUAAACUAAACCGACUCGUGAUCCCGAAGCAACACGCAGAGAGACACUUCCCUCUAGAUAACUCCACAUCAAACGACAGCAACAAAGGGUUGCUUCUAAACUUCGAGGAUCGAAGCGGAAACUCAUGGAGGUUUCGUUACUCUUACUGGAACAGUAGUCAAAGCUAUGUCAUGACUAAAGGUUGGAGCCGUUUCGUCAAAGACAAGAAGCUUGAUGCUGGAGACAUCGUCUCUUUCCAGAGAGACUCCGGUAAUAAAGACAAGCUCUACAUCGACUGGAGGAGACGGCCUAAGAUUCCCGAUCAUCAUCAUCAUCAUCAAGCUUCUCAUCAUCCAUUCGCCGGAGCUAUCUUUCCUAGGUUUUACACUUAUUCUCAGUACCCUCAGAUGCCGACAAAUUACGAAAGCCACAACCUCUAUCAUCGAUUUCAUCAACGAGAUCUAGGAAUUGGCUACUAUGUGAGGUCAAUGGAGAGAAGUCAUCCAACGGCUGUGAUUGAAUCUGUACCGGUGAUGAUGCAAAGGAGGGCACAAGUGGCUUCGAGAGGAGAGAAGAGGUUAAGGCUGUUUGGCGUAGAUAUGGAGUGCGGAAGCGGCGGGGGCGGAGGAAGUGUGAAUAAUAGUACGGAGGAAGAGUCGUCAUCUUCCGGUGGUAGUAUGCCACGUGGCGGCGUUUCUAUGGUUGGUGCUGGUUCUCUCCUCCAGUUGAGGUUAGUGAGCAGUGAUGACGAGUCAUUGGUAGCAAUGGAAGCUGCAAGUCUUGAGGAUCAUCACUUCUUUACAAAGAAAGGAAAGUCUUCCUUGUCUUUUGAUUUGGAAACAUGAUUAUGAGACUAAACACUAGUUAAAAUACAAAUAUAUAUGAUCAUUUAUACAUAUAUAUUAUAUAUAUGACACAAAUAUGUCGUCUUUCAAGAUUUAAUGAUAAUUAUCAAGAAAUUACAUGUGUUUUUAAAGAUUCGAAAAUUGUUAUAGUUUUGAUUCUGAUUUGAAGCUUUAAUUUCCUAUAAUGAGUCUCUAAUUCAACUUUGGCUGGUCGGUGUUAUACAGAACAGAACUUUGGAUAGCUAGGGAUCAGUGUAAAACUUAAAAACCCAUGUCCCUCAAGUCAGAAACUAAUCAGAAGAUAUGGGCUGUCUUAUAAAAGUGAAAGUGUGUAUAUAUGUAUAUAAUAUGUGAUUGCAGCAUUGUGUAUAUAUAAUGACAUUAAAUGUUUAUCAAUUUUUUUAUUAUUUUUUUGUCUUCUGUUAUCAAACUUUUUUUUACCUUGUUUAGUUUAUUUGAUAUGGCUGCUGUCCUGUUACUGCUGCAUUUUCUGAAGCUGUUGCUUCUGCUUAAUUAGUCAAGCAGAUUUUGCAGCUUGCAGUGAGAUGGGCAGAGACAAAACUGGAUAUUUUCUUCAUUUUACUUUUUUUUAAAAUAUAUACUCUCAUGAGUUUUAUUUUAUUUUUCAAAAGAAGAGCUUUUUUCAUCUAGGUAAGAUUGAAAAGGUAUGAUCUGUUUUCACAGAUACUGCUGAUGCAUUAACUGUUGGAGAAAGUAAAUGAAUUUUAUUUUUAAAAAAUUGUUUUCUCAGUUAACAAACUGGUUUCUUGUCUGGACCAUUGAACAACUCACACACAUAUAUAUACAGGCAGGGAUUGUUAAUGUUAGGUCUUGUUCGGUGUGACCAUAUGCGUGUGAUCAAUUUCUAUAGCUGCAUUCCAUUGUUAGUCUCACGAGUUUUUAUUUCAAGAUGAAAUUAACUCAACCAUAUAUUAAUCAUUAUACAUUGUGAUGCUAGUUAUAGAUUUAAUAUGUACACCCAGGCAAUUGAUUUUAUAUGGUAUAUAUAUAUGUAUAUAGAUAGUGUGUAUACAUGUUCUUGUUUUUGAUUAUUUGUGCAUAUUUAUAGUCAUAAUUCACAAACAUCAAUUAGCUUAUAUAUUGUCAUUAUAGUCUAUGUAUAAGCUACUUAAAGAUGAGUUAAAAUUAUAUUUUCACAGCUGUAGAUUUGUACGGUGAGCCUUAGUGCAGUAGAAUGUCACAACAAAAUUAAAAAUUGAAGUUUACGUAUACGAAUCUUAUAUUCAUACAAGCUAAUAAAAACUAAAGCCUUUUAGACGGGUUGAACAAAAAAAAAAGAAGGUAUUUUAACUGUACAUAUUUGUAAUAUAUAUAUAUAUAUAUGACCAUGAAUGCAUGCAAUGCAAGGAUGAGCUUGUAUGGAAAGAUACAUACAUACUUUGGUCUAAUAUUUCACCAUAUUAUCAACAGAAAAUUAAUUUAUGUAUGUAUAUCUAAUUAUGCAUAAUACUUUGGUCUAAUAUUUAUUUGAGUUAUGUCGUAUGUAUAUCUUAUAUCUAAGUGUAGCAGUGUAUGUAUAGGAAUUGCUAUUUUUGUGAGGAAUCUUAACUUGCAAAAGGGAUAGAAAUCUAUAGAUUUAUAGCAUUUGUAUUUUGUAGUUCGUUAAACUAAGCAAAAAAGCAGGAGCAUGUCAGGUAAAGUCAUUAGCCUAUUCAUACCAUAGCUGUGAAAAGAAGGCCAUCGAAAUCAGCGAGGGCUAUAUAUAUACCUAUAAAUUACAUAAUGUAAUCAUAUAAUUGCCUAUAUACGUGAAGAGCGUUUGAGAUAUUAGACGGACCUAUGAAUAAUGAUUAUGAUUUGUUUUCAAAGAAAAAAAAAAGAAUAAUGACUAUGAUUUGUCAUGAGACACGUACCCGCCUCCCAAAAGAAAAGUAAUAAUUGAUUUUAAAAGGCAGCUCUUGGCGAUAAAUUAACUAAAAUUUCCAAGAAAAAAAAGAAAUUAAGCAUCCUACUUUGGAGAAUUAAACUUUCCUUAAACCCAAUCUUUUGUAUCCAUGGCAAAAAAGAAAAAAUCAUUUGGACAAAAGAAGCGGUAAGAAAUACUUUAAAGUGAACCCCUAACCUAAUGUUUUUAGCCAUGUUAAUGACCACCAAGCCAUGGUGUUGCUGACGUUGAUCAAGCCAUGGUCUUGUUGUAUUAAACUCAUGAUUCUCAGUUGACGACAGAGUCCUCAAUUUCUCGAAUUUCAAACUUUGCCCUAGAAACCCAACAAUUUCUUUUAUAACUUCUUCGCCGGUCAUCCCUUCCACCACCUCAUCGACCAUCCUCGUUGUUGUCCAUUAGCACCAAUCUGAGCGUCACAUACAAUUUUCAGUUAAGGAUCUCUUUUCUAACUAAACUGACACCGAUUAGUACUUUGACGGGAUUGUUUGUACGGGGUUUAUACCUAAUGGAUAUAUAGUUCGGCAUUUUUGUGUUACAUACUAUUUCAUACAGUGACACAAUUGAGACAUACCAAUUAUUGUUUUUAAAAAAAAAAUUAAAAAGAAAAUGUGAAUCGGUCUAUUGUGUCUAUUGUUCCGAGUGUAAACUUUACUAAUCAGAACCAAUAUUUGAAUUUCAGUAUCCAAGAUCAAGACUUUGUUUCAAAGACGAUUAGGCUCUCGUUAUAACUUAUACCACGUUUGAAAGGGUGUAAUCGUGAGAGAUUUCACUAUACAUAAUUGGUUGUGUUUUCCCCGGUGCAUUGUCAUUUAUCGAUUAGGAAUCAAUCACCAAUGAGAGCGAAAGCAGAACGUAAAAAAAGCCUUCUUCAAUUAAACAGAUGAUUGGAAAUACUUCGCUGGAGUUAGAGAAAGAAAGUAUUCACAUUUGGGUAGCUAGUAUUCUAGUUCAAGGGAUCAUGUCUAAAAGUUGAAACCUUUAUAUGCUCAAUCUCCAUGGAUAAGGUCUCAAACCACUUCUACUACCAAUGGCAGAUCCAUCAAGUAUCUGACAAAGGGUUUUACUUGAAAACAAACCAAACGAAGAAGAUAUCUAAAGCAAAGACUCAUCAUUUAAAGGAAACCAAUAUGAACUCUUCCUAUGCUCAAUCUCCAUGACUAGUACCAAUAGCAGAUCCAUCAAGUUAUCUGGCAAAGGGUUUUACUUGAAAACAAACCAAACAUAGAUGAUAUAUAAAGUAGUUUGUCCAAAAAAAGAAGAUAUAUAAAGUAAAGACCAGCAUGAACUCUGAUAGUGUUGAAAGAAUUAAGCAUCUGUCUGAUCAAAUCUUCAUAUAAUGUAAUGCAACAGAAUCGAUUACAUACAUAUUUAUAUAGUACGUACACAAAGCAAAACAAUACUCAAGUUUACACAUACAAACUCAGGACGUGUGAUCUAUCUCAAAGCACAUGUGCUCUGUAAAGUUAUGACUAAACGCUACGAACGAAAUGGAAAUAAUCAAUUCCUUCUCUACUUCCGCCAUAAACUCUCAGAUAUCAGAACACACCAACGAGAAGAGAGAGCCCGAGCAAGAAAAGCCAGACAAUAUGAAUCAACAACAAAGCUUGUCCUGGAACAGAAGCACUUCCAGCAUUACCUGUAUCACAAGCUCCUGUUUUGAUUACACGAGCGCCAUGACAAGCUGCGUCAGGACAACCGCACCAGUACGUGACUCCAUCGGCUCCACAAACCGGAUCCGCCCGGAAACAGUUAAUUGGGCAUCCACCCGGAUCAGAAUCCCCGGAGCAUACGCCGCCGCCGCCGGAUUGAUCUGGAAGAUCAUCGGCGGCUUGUAACCCGAUCAAGCAGAAAGCUAAGAAAAGGAAAGGAAUGGUCAGUGAUAGCGAAGACAUCAAUCGAAUUGUUGAUGAUGAUGUUGAAGAGAGGUCUUCUUAAACCCAGAAAUCUAUUCCUCCAGAAAAACCCUAGAGAUUCGUGGUGAAGGGAGUCGAGAUUUCUGAUUUGCUUAAUGAUUGAAACCCUAAUUUCAUGAAAUUUGGGGAUUUUCUCGAGAGAGUUAGCGUAACCGUGUUGUUUGAAUUGGUGGUACAGCUGGUCCACCUACCGAGUGAAGUAAAUUAUUGAGACUACGCGAAGUUUUUCAUUUAAGCAAUUAAACGUCUUGCCAUUUAUUUCGACGACGUCGUAUUGAUACAUGUUAAGCAACUUCGAUUUGCUUCGAAAAUUCUAAACCAGAUUUUACGGGUAGAUAAUUUUGGAAAUAAGAAAACAUGUUUGAUUCAAGUCAUAUUUUCGGUUUAAACCACUAUAUUUUGUUUUAACUUUUAACAUCAACCACUAAACUUGAUUCGUUAACGUUUAACAUUACAAACUUUAUAACAAAGCUAUAUAACCCUAAAAGUGUCUCCCAAUUGCUCCCUUAUCACUUGUAGUUGAUGAGUCUUCUCAGUUUUAAACUGAGAAUGGGUUCAGAAUAAAAGAACUGUUUCACUAUCCUGAAAUAUAUCUUGGCUUCACCGAUCCUUUCAUGUUUCAAAAGACUUCUCUCUUGGAUCAGUUUCACUGUGACCCGAGUGUUUCUUCCUGAUGCUUUAUCUCUUGCGGCAUAUCGUCAUGCCAUCGCCGAUUGGUACCUAAUGCACAAAGAAAGGUGAAAAACUGAAGAGCUCGUUGUGUUGGGACUUGGGAGAGUACAGUGAGAGAAUCCAGAAAGAAAAAAAACUCACCAUACUAAUGCUUACACGUUUAUCGCCCAUUAACUUUUUGUUGAAAUUCCUAAUGCUGAUGGUCUUUGCAUCAUUCACCUGUUGGUUUAGGAAUAUGUAAUUAUGAUCUUUCUUCUCAUUCGAGAAGCUUUUAGAGCAUGGUUGUGUUUAUGUAAGAUGCAUACCAUAGGAUCCGUAACUCGUCCAUGCCAAAGAACAUUAUCCAUCACAAUGACUCCACCAACUCUGACCUGCGUCAGCAGAUAUAACCGCUAAAGAUAACCUAUGGAAAGAGACUAGCAAGUUGUGAUUCAUCUUACAAGUUGAAGAAGCAAUUCGAAGUAAUCCUGAUACAUCCUCUUAUCAGCAUCGACAAAUGCAAAAUCGUAACUGCAAGCAAAAGAAGCUGAAAUUUUAGGGAAGCAUUUCAAAUCGAGCCGAGCCACCCUCAACGCUACAAUGAAAGAAGCUUACUGAAUAUACCUGGAUUCUUCACCAUUCUGAAUCAUGGAUUUCAAUGAUUCAGCCGCAAGACCAUGUUUCACAUUAACCUGACUAGAGCAAACAAAUCAAAGAAUCAUACAGCUGUUCGUAAAUGAAUCUAUGUUGAGGAACCAUGUUACAAGGAUAGUAUCAAUAUUUACAAGAUAAGGUUCGAACAGUCGCAAACGAAAAAAGAAUAAAACAGUAAAUCUUUCGUGCAAUUGAAUGGGAUAUUUUUUCGGUCUCACCUUGUGAGAGACUCCGGCAAGGUCGUAGUACCUCUUAGCAACUUCAAGAGAGUUAGAAUCUCUUUCACAGGCAACUAGACACCCUGAUUCCGGUAGCACUAACGCCACAGCCAAUGAAGAAUAUCCCUAUCGAAAACACGGAAAACGGCUGCGAAUUGCUGCUACUAUUCUCAUAAAGAUAACAGUGCUCAUAAAACUCAUAGGAAGAAGAUUAAACACCGUGUAAACUCCAACUUCAAUACAUCUUUCUGCUCCAUGAAUCUGUACAAGCAUUGCAAGCAGUUGCGCUUGAUCAGGCGACACCUACAGCCAAAACCAAACGCAGUUUACUACUAAAUUAGCUUACUAGUGUCAAGAACAAAAACAAUAUAAUCCAUUUUUUUAUAGAAAAAGCUAAUUCAAAAUUCCAAACAAAUAGAGCAUAAAAUCAGAGAUCAUCCACAAGCUGAAAGCAGUAAGAGAACCUAAUCCAGUGAAAUUGUUACCUGCAUUUGACUCCCUCGCAUUUUGGAAGUCUCUUCUCUAAGUUGCCUCAAAAUCUAAAAAAUAAUCAACCAAGUAACUCUCUACAGAUAUGAGGAAACGGAGGACGAAAACCAAAGCAGAGGAGGAGUUUACACAAACCUUAGGCUCGCGUACGUUGGAGAUGACAUAGUCGUAAAGGCGAGGAGUGAGACUAAUAACCUCUUUGUUACCGUACUUCUCGUCGUCGGACAUAACAAAAGGACUCGCCACUGUCGAGCAGUUCCCGAUCAGCCGGCGACUGAAUUUCAAACUCCUGACGGCGGAGACCGUUGGCCGGUUAAGUAAAGUAUCGGCCGCUCUACAUACCGAAAUCGAACAGCGAUUCAGAGCUAAACCGGUCGACAUCUUCUGCUUCCCCCAAACUCAAAGCGUAACGGAACUCGAAAUCUAUCUGCGUGACUGCGUCUGCUCUAACCAACCGGGUCGGGUCAUUAUGAUGUUGAAACGGGUUGAUGGUAUAUCGAAGAUAAAAAUAAUUUAUUCGUUUAUUAAAUUAAGUCAUAAAGCCCUUAAUAUUUGAAAUAUCUCUCACAGGUAGAUUGUAAACUUAUAUUAGUUUUUAUAAAUAACCCUUAUGUUCGGAAUUAAACAAAAAAAAACACACACACACACACACAUACUGUACUUCAAUUUCUUCUCCAAUUUGGAAUUUUGAUCGAAUGAUAAAUCUUAUACUACCAGAGAUUAUGGUAUCAAAAUUUAUGCAUAUUUUUAGAUCAUAGACAAUUUGUGGUGACUAAAACAACACGUAAAACAUAUGCCAGUCUCCUAUUUGAUCUAGCAAAUAAAUUGCUACUAAAACUAAAGUACAGAGUCACUUUGUUGUAAAUGAUAUCAUAUCAUCAUUCCAUCUACAAAGUGAUUUUUUAUGCCAAAGCUUCUUUGUACAUGAUAUUUUCAUCUGUCGUGAGAGAGUAUAUUAUUACAUGUGGUAGAGAGAUCUUCCAAUCGUAUGACAUAAAUAAAUCAAUAAUUUAACGAGUUCAUAAGAGAAAGAUUUAAUUAAUACUGAUUACAGGUUUGUUAAUGAUCUACAUGACUAGAUUGACACUAAAGCUAAAUAUAAAACAUUUGUUAAUGACUUAGAAAAAAAAAAAAAAAGAGGACAAAGACAAAAAAAACUUUGUGAACCACAUAUUGAAGUCCACGAGAAUCGCAUUUGAAAAUUCGACAUCAAUCAAUUCGAUGUGACUUGACAGGUUACAGUUAUAUAAACAUGUUAUAUAUGUCAUACACUUAAGUUGUUGACAUGUUCCCUUUGAUAUUAUUAAAAGAUACUAUGCUUUUAGAAUACAGUAUAUAAUAAGGUUAUAUGGGUAAGAAUACUAUUACUAGCUUUAAUGUCAUUUGGGUAAGAAUACUAUUACUAGCUAUUCGAUUAUUUCCAAUAUAGUUUAACCACUUAAUUUUUGAUAAUGCUACUAUUUUAUAUUGUUGUAAAUUGUAACUCUUUCAAAUAUAAACAAUUUGAGAUAAUACCAAUCUGUUUAGUUCGAUUUCUUGAUUUUUUUUUAUUAUUUUUGGGUAAAGUUCUUUAUGUCUUUAUUGGAAACCUAAAUCUUAUACUUUGUCAACUGUAUAGUUGUUGUUAACUUCUUUAAUAAAUGACCGAAGAGUUAAAAACUCAUUUCCUACGACCGUGUUUAAAGCGCGUGUCUUUGUUUAAUAUUCUCACCAAUAAAGUAAUUAUGAAUUCGUAAAAAUGGUCAUCUAAUUACAACAUGUGAUGUGGGAACCUAUAUUAAGAAAAUUAAAGAACCAAGUGACGAUUGACGAAUAUUGAUCGUGUUUAACUCACGACGCGUAGAACGAGUCGUCGUGCAAUAAUUUAUAAAUCUUAUAUAAGGUGGCUGUAGAUAAGAAUAUGUAAAACAGAUUAAAUUAAUAUGUGUGACCUGCCACUUUUUUAGACAUCUAUGUGAUCUGCAAACUUAUAUAUAGUCAAUAUUAAUGGAUUUAGUGUACUUGGUCAAAUUAUAUUUGAGCAUGUACAUUUGAACAGCGAAUGAUAUGGGUAUGUUAUGUAUUCAUAAAGAUAUAUAAAACAUUACUUAGUUACAUUACAUGUCUUGACACAUUUGCAUAUAUAUUUUUGACUCCCUUGUCGAUCAGUAGGGUUUGUGUAGUCCAUCUUGGAAGGGAUCCUUAUCAGUACGUAUUAUUGAAGUAUGUUGAUGACUGUAACAUGUAAGUUAUAAACCGUAUGAGGUUAUGACCAUAAAUAGAUAGAUAGACAAUGAAAAAUAGUUUUGAUGAAGAUAAAGACAUCGAAAAUGUUACUCUAUAGUAAUUUUGUUUCCACGAGCACACUCAAGUCAUGCAUGGAUAGAUAUGUUUUUUUUUGUCACGUACGACUACGAUUUCUUUUGGUUGUAUGUGAAUAUGGUAAAAAUCACCCAAAUGUAUGGUGGAUGAUUGCCUUUUGUCGCAUCCAAAAAGAAUAUUCCACCGUCUAUAUUUAUCGUUUUCAUGUUACUGAAAUUUUUUAUAAUCUUUUUUUUUUCACCAAUUUUAUAAUCUUUAAAAGUCACAUAUAUAUAUAUAUAUAUAUUUAUCGACAAUAAAAAGCAUUAUUUAAGGAAAAUAGUAAUAAGUAAAAAAGAAGAAAGCCAAUAAUUAAAUUUACAUUAAUUGUAAUCUGGUCUAUGGCUAUUUUGUAUUUACUGUUUAAAACUGUAUGACUUUAGUCAUCCCUUGUGUAUCGGUAAAUUUUAUUAAUAUUAUAUAUAUAUAUAUAUAAUUUAUUCGAAUAUUAUAACAUUUGAAUGCAAAAUAUUGGUCAGUCGCAUGACUCACAUAGUCACAUGAAACUAACAUAAUAAAUGUUCAAAACUCGAUUAGGGAUAACAAGGAUUCAGAAGUCUCAAAUUGUAAUUAUAAAACGUUAUUUGCUAUUUUUAAUGAUAAAAUAAAAAUAUUAAGUGUUUUACUUCAAUUGAAAUGUAAGUUUCAUGAAAACCAACUUUACAGAAAAUAAAUAUCUUUGCAGGAUUGGAAAUAAUCAGACAAAGUUUGUUUUUUUUUUGUAUAAAGAAAAAGACACAUCUUUCACGUUUGUGUAUGACGCAAGACCCACGACUCAUCUACUGACCUAUCGAAAUUUUGUUUCCUUUCUUAUUAUUCGUUUUCUAUUCUUAUUCGGAGGCCUACUUUAUUAGUACUAAUUAUUUUUUAUUUUUUUCUUUCAAAAGUUAAUUUGUUUUGGUUAUAACGUAAAAGUUAACUUUAUAACCAACACAAAAGUAAACAUAACUAUUAUGUCUUAUCUCUUUAUGGUUGGCUUGAAUUGAAUUGCAGCGCUUUUAAACAAACGUGUUGAAUCCGGAUAAUUUGAAUACAUAAGAAUUACGAUCAGUUUUUGGCAAAAAAAAAGAAAAGAAUUACGAUCAGUUUUUGGUUUUUUGUUUUUGUUUUUUAAACAACCAUUUAAAUAUUUUACUACGGUUUUAAUUAUAGCUGAUCAGUACUAAAUGGUACGCUUUGUCACAUACCAUGAAAACUAGUAUAGCUGAUUCGUAUCCCCGAA